GAAACAGUGACUAGUUUCGGUCUUUGCAUGAUUAAUAAUUGCACCUAGUUUCGGUCUUUGCAUGAUUAAUAAUUGCACCCACCCGAUAGUUAUGUGCAUGUUAUAUAGACUUCCUUACCCUAAAGAAUAAAGUCUCAAAAGUCAAAACAAUAUGUUGAACACAAGUCCUUGCGUUGGAUCGCCAUCAUUUUUCAUCGGGGUGAAUUUUAGGUACUCUUACAAGUAUUCUUAUUUUAUUUAUUUUAUUUUUUUCAUGUACCUGCUAAUUAAAGGGCUAUUUAGGAUUGAAGUUGGCCAACACAAAAAUAUUAAUUAAACUCUAACUACUGUAGUUUUAAAGAUAUAUUAAUAUGAUUUUUCACUUGUAAGAUGAAAAAUUUAUUAUGUCUUUAAUAAUUUUGACAAAAUUAUUAUCUAAAAAUUAUAUUUAUAUAUUAUUAAUUUUUAUUUCAUAAUUAUAAAUUUUUUUCCACUUUAAUCUCAAAUGAAAACUAGGAGUAAUAGUUCUACCGGGUGGGGGGGUGUUUUUACUGACAUAAUGGUGUUGUCAAGAUUUUGGUUUUACUUGGCCUCUAAUAGAGAAAUGAAAAAUUGUAGUUAUAAAAUAAAACUAUUAAACCUUCAAUAAUGCUAUACUUAUUUAAUUGAGAUACUUAAUCUGUAUCUCAACUGAUGUGGUAAGUGAUGUGUCCCUAUCUGAUUGAUUUAAUUUAUAGAUAAUUAUUAAAUCUUAUCAUUUUUAAUUCAACUAUUAAUUUUUUGUUGAUGACAACUACAAACUUUUAUUCUAACUAAAUAAACAUAACACUCUUAAACUUUACAUAAAAGUGGAGUAAAUUUUCGUGAAUGCCCCCCAAUUUCAACAUAAUUCCGCCCACGGUGCUUUUUUAUGGCAGUGUAAUAAUGUUUUACAAAAUUGACCUUAAAUUUAUAAUUUUUUAAACUUUUGGCCCGCAUGAUUCACACAUAAAUCAUUAUUUGUCAUACAUUAACCCCUAUUAGUUAUUAGUUAUGGCAAAAUGGCCCACUUGGUCUAAAGAUUUUGAUUUCGCGCAUGCCAGCAAUAUCCAAAAAUGAAAAAUGUACAUUGAAGAGUCUUGCAAUCAAGCUAAGAUUUUUCUGUUUUGUUAAUCAUUUUUCAAAUUAAAAAAAAAAAAUCAACUUUACUGACUUGUUUGACAGGAUCGGAAAAUUUGUUGCAUCGAAAAGCUCUAGCACACUGAUUUCAAUAAAAUAAUAUAGAAUUUAUUCACUAAUUAUUGAUUAAGUGCCACGUCACAUUUUUCAUGGACAUUUUAUAUGAAAAAUUAUGUCGUAGCUAGCUGGACUCUUGAUAUACACAAAUAUAUGUAAUUGUAACAAGACUUCCCAAAUUAUUUUGAAAAAUCAUUCAAAUUAAUAAUUGUUUAAGCAUAUCAUUGUUCAUUUUGAUGACCUUGGCAACAAGAGUUGCCAACACUUUAAAACUCGGAAUUUAUAAUAUAGUUUUUUUGGCCUUGCCUAAAUAUUGUUCAUUGUUAUUUGUUAGUCAACGAGCCGUCACAAAUAUACUAGUUUAUAAUUGGGGAUGCGUGUACUCAUGAACGUGGCUGAAUUCAAUUGUUUUCUCAAAAAUUAAUUUGUAUAUCCUAAUAAUCAAUUCAUAUAAUAAUUAAGAUGAUGAUCAUGCAUCGUCAGCCUCUUAAAUAAUUCCCAUCCUUUGAAAUAGUGUUGAAAACUUGUCAUGAUGAAUCAUGAUCUCAAGCCAUAAGAUGACAAUUCGACCUCAUCACGAAAUAUUGUUUAGGGUAAUUUCUCUUAAAAAUUAAUUAUCUCAUUAGAUGUCGACACGAUAUUUUAUGAGCUGGUUAGAUAGAUAAUUAGAUUUCUUUAGUUAUCAUUUAAUUGAAUUUAAGAUAUACAACCAAUUAACAUUUCAUAUCAAUUUAUAUAUCUUGAUUUUCUCUUUUUCCUACACCUCAAGGUCCUCAAACUUUUUAGUUCAUUCAUUCACAGUCACACAAGUUAUAUAAUCUUUAAAAAUUGAUUGAUGAUAGCCGUUAUAAGAUUAGAAUCUCAUCAUGUUUUAAUUUUCUCGAAAUUUUAAUAAUUAACAGAUGUCAUGUAUUAUAGCGUAUGGAUAUGAUUUAAUUUAUUUAUUUUAUAAAUUUAAUAACAAUCAAUCAACUCGUAAAUUUUUAUCUGAAAAAGUUCAGAGCAUAAAAUAAUCUUAAUUCUAUUAGGAUAUUGAAAAUGAUGAAUAGGGAAAAAUUCUAAGGCACGUGUUGGACUAAAAUGUCGAAAGGGGCCAAAUUGUCAAGUCUUUAAAAGCACCACGGACCCAUGUAUUUCGAAACAGAGCAUCUUUUCAACGCAUGCUCCGAUGCUUAUCAUUAAUAAAUUGAGUUGUGAAUGGGAACAAUAUACUACAAUUGAGGUCGAUAAUCACUGACCCUCCAAUUUUCUUGAACAUUCAUUACUCCUUUGAUUUAAUUUUUAAGAUGAAAGGGGUGUGUGUGUGUGUUGACUGUUGAGUGAUUUAGAAAGCGAUUUUACUUGCAAGUUUCUUUGAAAGCAAAUUUUGAAAAUUAAUGUACCAGAUGCUUCGUUGACAAGCACUUCGAUUAUCAUCUUUAUUGUGAUAACUUAUGAAUCUUCACAACAUAAUAAGAGAUAAAAUAAUCCCUACAAAUUAAACGUAACCACUGCAUAUCAAACUUGAUAAUAUUAUAGAUAACAAAAAUGCAUGCAGGAUUUGAGAAUUCAAUUCCUUGAAUAAUAUCACAUAGCCCCUUCAUCUUUGUAUUAUUUGCAAAACUCUUCAUUUACUUUUAGCUUCUUACAAAUUUAUCUUGAAUUAAAAGCAACCUCGCAAUAUAAUUAAGACUAUGUAGCCGGAUGUUUGUUAAAAUUGAAUAAACUAUCUUUAUUUGCGAACAUGCAAAACGUCAAGGAUCAUGAUGUUAUUACCUCAAUUAAUUUUUCCAUCCAAAGAGCAUUCUUAGUGUGUGCACGCGCGUUUUAAUUAAAAAAUGUUGAAUUUCUAUCCAAUGUUAUAAAAUAAAUAUAAAAAUCCAUUCUGACUAGUUAAAAAUAUAUUUAAUACAUAAAAAAAAACUCUAAAAGUAGCUUUGAGAGUAUAAUAUUAUUAAAUAAAAGAAAUUUUUUGAUUAUUUAAUUUGUAAUGACAAUAUAUGGGUGACUUUGAGAAUUGGAGGGACCAGCACAGAGUCUUCAAUUGUCAAGUACAUAUAUAAUGCCUCUUAUUCUGAAUAAUAGAAAUGCGCUUGAUGAAUUCUCUCCUUCCAUCCCCCUCCUUUUCAUGGAUAAAGAUUCUUCUUCAUCUGAGUUCUCAUGAGCUUUUAAAGAUAUAAUUAAACUUCUUUAUUUUCUUUAUUUAUUAACUAUCAAUCACCCACAUAUAUUUUUAUUCAUAAGGAGAUCAGAUAAUGAGAAAAUCAUAAUCUCCUUAAACAAGGUUCCAAGAUAGGUUAGGUAUAAAAAAAUAAUUGAACAAAAUUACAAAUCUAUGUUUACCCGUAACCGUGGGAUUUGAAAUCAUUAGUUAAUUAGCUCGAUUAUUUUUAUUAUGAAUCAACUUGACCAAAUUAUCUUCUUGGAAUGGUAUUACCUUUCACAAUUAAGUCACCAUAGAUAUGACAUAGAUAUUGUCUUCACCGAUAAUCCAAAACAACUAGUUUCCAUGACCUAAAGAUUCUCUAUUAUAAUAUGAACUCGAAAACUAAUUUCUUGAACAUAUAAGUUAUAUUAGGGGAUUGAUCAUUAGAUGAAUCUAUGUUAUCGUUAUAAAAUAGAAUAAAACAAAAGAAAACAAAUUAUUAAAUAACAUGUGUUAAAAAAAUACUUGAUUUGAGAAGGAUUUGGUCACGUAUAGUAGAGUAUUGAUGGGUGCGUGUAGGGUGGGCGCCAUUUAAGUUGAUAUAAAUCUCACGCAUCCACACUGAUGUUGGGAGUUUCAUCAAUAAGCUAAAUAAAAAAUUUUAAAAAUGGUGUCAAUUAAAAUUUAAUGGUUUAAAUUAUAAAUCCAGUGAGUUAGGUUUUAAAUCUUGAACGGUUUGCUCACACAGCUUCUGCAUUUUGCAUUGUGGUAAAUCAAUCACCAUACAUAUUUAGCUAAUUACAAAAGUUUAGGUACCUAAUAAAGGCAGAAGAAUCAUCUUGUAGUACAAUGGCAGAUUUUAAAUACAUGCAUGCAAGUAUCCAAGGUAGGCAAAAACUGGUUAGGGUUCAUCCCUCGGCCAAUUGUUUCCUAUAAUUCAUUCUAAAGCAACAUAUAUUUGCUUUUCAACAGAUCAAUUGAUGUUAACUCGAAAGCAAUAGGGACUAAUUAAAAUGUUCUCAUUUUUUCUAACUAAAUUUUUGUGCAUUGAUGUGAAUGUGGAGACGCAUGCAUAUCAAUAUCAUAUUAUUACACCAGUUGUUGCCUGAAAUUUAAUUUUAUUAUUUUCAGGAUUUAAACAAGAUUUGUUUCGUUGCUUUUGUUAUUAUAAUUUAUUCAGAAAAUAGUUAUUAAAAUAUAAUCAGUGUUAGAAAAGCGACAUUAUUGGCACUGCAACUAUUUUAAAGUUUAAUUAACAGUUGUUUUCUGUUUUUCCUACGUUUCAAAACUUUUGAAGCUGUUCGGGUGCAAAGUGGUGGUUUUUUUUUAAAAAAGAAAAAAAUAUGUCACUUUCUAAAGUACAGUGAUAUAUUGAUAUUUUUUUUGCAUUAACAGUAAAUGUUGCUAGUGACAAGAUUUUUUAUUCUGGAUAAUAAGGUAAUUUCAAAAUUUUCUAGUGUCAUUUAUGGUCACUUACGUAUAUUAGGUUGUUACUAAUCAGCUUAAUAAUAAUAAAGCAAGAAUAUUUGAUAUAAGGAUUAUUUUGUUGUAAAUAAUAACUAAAAGGGGUCAAAAAUAAUGAAAGCUACUUUAAAGGCUUAAUUUGAAAAAGGCAUAGGAGUCCUUUCAUACUUAAUGACUAUUAACGGUGGCCAAAGUAUAGCUAUUCUGAUAUGGAGGUUACAUCAAUAAAAAUGCAUAAUCUUUUAAUACUUGUGCAAUUUAAAAAAAGGUCCGAUUAUGUUGGAAUUGUUCCAUUGUGAAGUAUUGAUGAUGACCAUACAAUCACAUAGAUAAAUAUUAUAUAUGCACUUAUUGCUAUAAUUUGACGGUAAUCAUCAGUCUUCUACGGUGAAGCAAUUCCACAAGAGUAGUGCUAGGUGUAAAGAAAGAUGAGAGAAAUUUGCCUUCUCUCUCUUCCCACCCACUAUCUCUCUUUCAUUUUCUUCUUUAUUUCUCUCAUCUUUCUCUUAUCUUUCUAUACACCAAGAAUUUUCCAUUCUACAAUAUCCACUACCUUUUAAAAAAAAGUUUAUGUCCCACUAUGUUUUGCGUAUUACAAUUCUCUAGUGUUGUAUCAAAUCAAGAUAUAUUAUCGAUUUAAAUUUUUAAGUCAAGUGAUUUAUCUAAUGUUAAUUAUCAAAUUUAUUAUUAUUAUUUUACUUUUUUUAAAAGCAUAAAAUAAUAAAUGAGUGUAAAUUGUAUAGGAUAUAACACUUUACAUCUAUAUCAUAACAGAAAUUUAUAUUUUACACUAUACUACUAUUUUUAUUGCUAUGACAUCAGUAUGAUAUAAUAAUUUUAGUAAAGUUGUAACAAAAGUGCAGUAAAAAUAUAAGAUUUUGCGAAGUCAUAGUAUUAAAGUAUUACCUCUAAUACUAUUAAGAAUUUUAACCUCACCCAAAUUACAGGCAAAAAAUAUCAAACAAAUAAUAAAUAAAUAAUGGAUGGAGAAUAAUACCAAUCACACAACACAAUAAUUUGUGUGGAAAACUCCUAUACUAAAAGAAAUAUGUUGCCAAGGACAACAAGAGGAAAAUUCACUAAGUGAAAAAUUAUUACAAUCACUCUACUAUUUUUUUUUUUACACCCAAAGCCCCAAUAAAACACUCAAUUUAUCAAUAGACUUACUGUUUCUUUCACGUUAGAAAUUGUCUACUUGUAGAGGACUGAUUGCUUGUUAUAGAAACGAUUGAACUCAACCUUCCUAUAUAUAGUGAUUAUUUCUUGUAAGAGAAAUAUUCGUUUCCUUAUACUAGUUGUACUCCUCGUUAAAUAAGUCAAAUCCCAAAGAAAAAUUACUUAUUCCUUAAAUAGGAAUCCUACUGAAGAAGAAAAUAUCCUAGAAAAUCCUUAUUAAAAAAUAAAAAAUAUUUUCUAACUACCUUCACUUUGGCGAGUUUUUCAAUUAAGCAACAAAACAUGAUCCACCGUGUAUCCACACAACUACGUCGUCUUCACCUUUUUUACUCCACUAUAGAUAAAAUCUUGUGAGAAUAACUCCACUUUGGCUAAUGAGAAUCACUCCAUCAUAGCUAAAAUUUUGUUUCUAUCUAGUAACCAUAAUUCUUUAUACCAAGAAUCAUCAUACUCUACUUUAUCCAGAGUACACAUAUAGGGCAUACGUCGAUCACCUCAUUGAAAGUAGCUACUCUCAGGUUUAGCUUCUUUGAGAAUCUCUAGCCAUUGACAUAAAAAAAUUCUACCACACUUUGCAUAAUGUCAAAUCAUGUCUCGUGUGCAAUCUUGUGGACCCGCUAGUAGUAACACAUCCUCUUUCAUGGCAUGCCAAAAAGGAUAAGCCAAUCUUUCAUGGAAAAAAAAAAAAAAAACUCACCACUAGUUGACAUUAUCAAUAUCUCUAUCUACUGAUUUAAAACUAUUUGGUGAACUUGCUCUAUUAUGACAAUCUUUUUUAAGGUGCCUUGAUCGGCUGUGCACCUUCACAUGUUUCCACCAGUGGGAACGUCGUCUUGCUUUUUAAUGUGUAAUCAAAUUGAACUAAUAUAUCCUUAACUUGAAUUUGCCACAAGUCAAAAUUGAUUUUUCUAUCAAAUUUUUAUAUUCCUACCUCACAGGUUUUGAAAACCUCAUUGCUGACAUAUUUGCAUUGUGUUGCAACCUUAACUCUGAUACCCUUUAAUACUGUUAAAAAAAUUUAAUCUCACUUAAGAUUUUGUAAGCAAAAAAUAUAAAAGCAAAUAAUAAAUAGAAAAUAGAUGGAGAAUAAACUUAAUCAUAUAAAACAAGAAUUUAUAUGGAGAACUCUUAUACCGAAGAAAAACCACAGCCGCCAAGGAUGAUAAGAGAAAAAUCCACUAUAUAAAAAAUUAUUAUAAUCACUCCAAUAUUUUAUUGUCACACUCAAAAUCUCAAUAACACCUAGUCUUUGAAUAAAUAUACCGUUUCUCUCACAUUAGAAACUGUUUACUUGUAGAGAACUUACUAUUGUUUUAUACAAACAAGUGAACUCAAUCUCCUUAUAUAGUGAUUAUGUUUUGUAAGAGAAGUAUUUCUUCGUUAUACUAGUUGUGCUCCUCCUUGAAUAAGUAAAGUCUCAUAAGGGAAAAUUACUUAUUCCUUAGAGCAUCACCAAAAGACUUUUCAAAUAAGAUUUUAUUACUUGUUUAAAGAGCCACAUCAGCAUUUAAAGUUCCAAAAAACACUUCAAUUAAGAUUCUUCAAAUAAGAAAUGAUCAUCUCUUUUCAAAUUUGGAGAGUUGCUUUCUCCCUCUUCAAUUUAUAUUUUAUUACUUUUUGUUGGAGAAAGAGAGAGAGAUGCUUUAAUUACUAUUGACUUUUCAUUUUAAAAAAAUAGUUAUUUAAUUAAAAUAAUAUUAACUCAUUUAUAUUUGAAGAGUCUUUUGGAAAAUAACAUAUUUUUUCACUCUUCUAUUAGCCACAUAGGUAAGCAAAUAAAUAUUUGAAGGGUAAAAUUUAUAAAGUCUUUUGGAAAUGUUCUUAAAUAAGAAUCCUACUAAAGAAGAAAAUAUUAUAAGAAAUUCGUAUUGAAAAAUAAGACAUAUUUCCUAAAUAAUACUUAUUCCAAAUUUUCAUUGUUUCACUUUUCUUAAAGUAGUGAAAUCGUAAUAAAACUCAUCAAAUUUUUAAUGUUUCCAAUAUUUUAUGAACGUCGCAGUCAUAAAUAAACCUAUGAACCAACUUCCGGGAGUUUCCAAAAGAUCAAACAACUUGCCCACGCAACAAGCAACAUGAUUGCAAGUUGCAAUUACUAUACAUUUAUUUAUUCAUUUAUUAAUACUUUUCAUUAUCUUUCCUUAAUGAAUAAUUUUUCUUUUUUAUUUUUGAUUAAUCCGAGAUUAGACCAAUUGAUCGAAUAAGAUCGAACCUGCUCUGCCAAUCUUUCGGGUCAAUGUCCCGAUAUUAUUUUUUAGUUAUUUCAAGUACCAAAUGGAUCAAUUAAAAUUGAAACAUGAUUAAUUAGAAACGAUUCGUGAAUCUCACUAUAAUCAAGGAAAAUUUUAAAGUUCUUCCAAUUGACUCAGCAACUAAUACAAGUUGUGAAAAGUGAUAAACAACUUGAAUCACACCAGCAUGCUGGGUUGAGGGCAUACAAAUUUGUAUCAAUUAAAUUAUCAGUAAGAGUUUAUUUAUAGGAUAAUUAACCUGCUUGUAAUUUCGUUAUUGAUUUGGAUACGAUUGCUCGAGUGUAUUAUUUUUAAAUAAAGAAAUGAUUUUAUCUAUUAUUAUGAGGAUUAAUUAAAAAAAAUAAGUAGCACAUACCUUGUAAAUGUUGGGUAGAAUAGUCGAAAAUAAAUCUAAAAAAAAAAAGUGUGAUAUGUACGAUUCAAAAGGGCGUGCUUGUUUAAUUAUUUUAAAAAUAUAACAUGAUAAGAGUAUUGUUAAUAAAAUAAAGAAUAAACAAAAAAAAAGGUCUAUUGUUUCUUUUUGUAAGUGUGAAUCGGAAACGUAAACGUAAGAUAAAUUGUGAAUAUAUUCAAUGUUUCUGUCGAAAAGAUCCUCACAAAAAAAUAAUUAAUGAUCCGCUCAUAAUGAAUAGUUUUUAAAUGAAAUCAAAAUAAAUAAAGUACUUUUACUUCUCAAUAAGAUUGUGAUUGUCCUUAUCGUAAAGCUUAGAUACGCUCUUUUGCAGCACUGUCGUCUACCCAAUAAAGUCCCCCAACUCAAUCACUCUUGUAAGUCCUCCAUUUCCCUUGAAUAUAUAUAUAUUCAAAUUUUAAAUGAAAAUGAUGAUGUGUUUUGAAAUUGAAGGUCCUGUAGUCAAAUUGUUCGCUCAAGGAUCCAAUUAUAUGAGUAUUUUAUAUAUCAAAAUUUCGUCGGUUUGUAGGAAACAAAACUAAACAAAAAAAGAUUUGGUUUAUUAUAUAAUAUGAAUAUGAAUACGUGCCAUAAAUCUAACAUCUAUUGGUACGUACAUUAAUUUAACGUGUGAAGUUGAAAAAAUAAAGUGAACGUUUGCGUUUUUGCAUCUACAGAAUGUGAACUAAUUUGGGUCUUAAUCACUAGUUUUAAGUUGCUGGGUAAAUGUUUUACAAUAUUAUUAUAUGGAUUCGAUGAAAAUUAUUAUAUGAAAUUAGAAUAUGGGCAUGGAUACGAGAGAUUCGACAAAACUAAUAUAGAUGAAUUAUUUAAAUAAUUGAAAGAAAAGAGGUGCAUAUAUACUAGAGGUUCGAACACUAAACCUAGGAUUAUAAAUUAAUGUUGUAUGAGAUUAUUACACUUUAUAAAACUAAUUAAUUAAAGAUUAAUGAUCAUUCACUUUUAAAUUUGAAAUAGACAAUAACUGAAGACAACUCACUCAAUUUGCAAAGAGCCAAGGGAGGCGUCUUGACUCUUUUUUAAAGUGAAGUAGGCCAUUUAUUUUUAUUUUGGAUAGGCAAAGGCUGUCUUUGUUGACCCAUGAAUUUUGAGAAGACUUUAUUAGCUCACAAUUGGACAAACGAAAAUAAAAAAAUAAAACCAACCUCCAUACUCUAUACGACUGUAUGUUUUUGUCUUAUUCAUUGACUUGCCUUUGCUUGACUUAAAAAAAAAUCAGUAGAGAGAUGUUAAAAUUUUAGACUAGCCAAUAGGCUUAGAUGUUACGGCAUCUUUAGAAAAAAAUUAAAAAAAAAAUUUAUUAUUUAUUUAAAUAAUCACAUCAACAUUUAAAAUUUUAAAAAAUACUCUAAUUAAAAUUUUUUAAAUAAAAAAUAUUAUUUCUCUUUAAUUUAAUAGAGUUAUUUUAUCCCUCUUAAAUUUAUAUUUUAUUAUUUUUUAUUAAAGACAGAGAGAAGUGUUUUAAUUACCAUUUAUUUUUCCUUUAAAAAUAUAUUUAUUUGAUUAAAAUAAUAUUUAUUAACUUAUUCAUAUUUGAAGAGCCUUUUAGAUAAUAACAUAUUUUUCAAUUUUUUUAUCACAUAAGUAAGUAAAUAGACAUUUAAAGAGUAAAAUUAAUAGAGUAUUUUAGAGAUGAUCUUAGCACAUUGGCAAAAUACCUGUACCCCAAAGUUGAGAAGUUGGGACUCUAUUUUUCACCUAAUUGGGUACCGAUAUUUAAAUUCUCCCACUACUAUGGUAGAGAAUAUGUAUCUCUUAGAUAUUAACAUGCUCAUUUUGGCAAAGGAAUAAAUUUAUGUGCUAUAUCAUAAUAAAUUUAAUCUAGGUUAGUUAUAAUAAAUUUUAAAUUAUAAAUAUCUGUAUGUUUCUAAAUGUAAUAUCAAUACUUAAAAAAUUAAAAAAUAUAUAUUACAAAUACAAAUUUUAUACACUUAUUAUAGACACUCGUGAUCUAACUUAUUUUUAAGUGUGACUGAGACUUAUGAGUUUUUAUAUACUAUCAAAACCAAACUUCUGCACUAAUGGACCUACAUUAUUUUACCAAAGGGUAACAAACAUAAAUUUUACUUAUCAUUUGUUUAUAACAUAAGUUUUAUUUAUCUUAAACAUAAAUUUAUGUUUAUAACUCAUGCACGAGUAUUUCUAAGUAUUAGUUAGAUAAAUAGUUUCACCAUUUGAGUACCUUUUGUCAGGAACCUGCUUUUAUACUCUUAUAUUUUUAUCUAUUCGAGACGAAAUACAAUUUAUGUUUUAUUUGCACCAAAAUACAAAAAUACCCUAUUUAUGAGGUAAUUAAAAAAUUAUUUAAGUUUUUUAUUUUAAACGAGGAAGUGAAAUAUGGCAUAAUUCAAGAAGGGGUAAAAUUAAGAGACACAACUUACAAACACAAUUUUAAAGGUAUGGAUUAAAGAAUAAUAAAGAGUUAAGAUUUGACGACAUGAAUUAAUGAAUAAAAUUCUCUCUCUUCUAAUUAAUGUUAGAGAUUAAUAAAUGGUCAAGAUUAGAUGAGGCGAAUCAACAGUCAUUUAACUUUUUUUUUACUCUCUUAUUUAUUCAUAUUCUCUCCAGCAUUAUUUACCCUUUGUUUCCUGUCAAAAUAUUUUUUCUUAUCUGGUCAUCGUCUCCAUCUGCUUCUCUCUCUCUCCUUCUUUUUUUUUUCCUGCUCUCGUCUUCUCUUCUUCUUUCUAGCCAUUCAAGAUAUAUUUAACAUGCUCUCAUCUUUUCUUCUUUUCUGAAAAUUAAAGAUAGUCACUCAAGGUAUAUUUGACAUUAAUUUUUUUUUUUUUGAGAUUGACAAAAGACAAUCCGGUAUUAUUGACAAUGAAUAUGAGUUCAUAUGAAUGACUCCUAAAUUUGGAUUCGGACAUAGUCCAAUUUGUAAUCCAGUAGAAUUUUAAGGUUGUGCAAGUGUUCAAUUUAGAGCUUGUUUCAGAUUGCUUUUGGGAGGUUUAAAAGUCAUUUUGAAAAUUUAAAAGGUAAUUUUAGUGUUUGGUGAAAAAAAAAAAAACAAAAUCACUUUUGUCAAAAUUAGCUCCUCCACCAAAAUAAAAUCACUUUUGUCAAAAUUAGUUCCUCCUACAGCUGAUUUUGAUUUUGAGAAUCAAUUGUAUCCUUUAAUACAAUUCCAUAAAUAUCCUUAAAAUUAUUACUUAAACCCAAAAUUAUCUUUAUUCAAAUUGGAAACAAAAUCAAUUGUUUAAUAAAAUUUUAUUAUAAUUCAUCAAUAUAAAUUUAUUAAUAUCAAUUUGUUGGUCAAAUUAUUAUUAAAUUUGUUUAACUAUAUUAUAAAUUUCAUUAUCAAUUGUUUUAAGAUAAAAAAAUAAAAAAUAAAAUCAAUAUAUUAUAAAUUUUAUUUUUAGUAAAAAUCAUCAUAAUACACAAUUAAAUUUUUUUUAUGUAUAUGUUUCUAUAUGUAUAAGCAAAUUUUAUUCUACAUUAUGUAUAUUUUAGUUAUUUAUUUUCUCUUAGUAGUUUAACAGUAAAAUUUAUCAAAUAUCCAUAAUUGUUUUCAAAACUCAUAGUACUUCUAAAAAUAAAAUUUACUAAACACUUAACUGAUUCUCUUCAUAGUUAAUUAUUUCUAUAACACAACUGACAAUAAUUAUUUUAAAAAUUAUAGCAUUUCCAAACUGGCCCUUAGUUUAUGAUUACUUUAUAGGCUUCACAAAAACUAAAAUUUUUCACUUUUAGAUCAAAUUUUAAUGCACGUUGAUGAAAUUUUUGAUGGAUAUGUUUCUUUUUAGAGUUAUUCAUUUUAUGCUCUAUUAAGCAAUUAUAAGAUUAAAAGAAAACAAGAUUAUUUAGAAAGUAAAAUUUACUAGGAGAGAAGACGUAGUUUAAAGAGAGAGAGAGAGAGGGUGAAAAUAAUAAUAAAAUAGUUAGUAAUUAAUAAGGGAGAGAAAAGAAAUUAAAUGAGUUACAACUCUUCCCUUCUAACGAAUCUUAAUUAGUAAUCUAAUGGCCCAAAAAUUGUGUUUAGAAUUAUGUAAAAAAAAUUUAUUUCUUGAACCUGCCCCUAAUAAACUAUAGAUGUAAACAUUCUACCUAAAAUAUACUUUUAGAUUUAAAAGAUGGAGACAGAUUUUUUUAGUCCUAAUCCGAAUAGUUUCUACUGAACUGAUUGGUCGCAAAAUAGACCGAAAACGUGUUUUUGUCAAACCUAAUUGUAUGUUUUUUGUCAAAAAGCUUGUAAAUUACUAAUUGAAACGUACAAGUAAUUUUUAAUUUUUUUUUUUUGUUUACAGAAACGUACAAGUAAUUGGUCCCAUAUGUUUUUGCAAAGCACGAAUCCAUCCUCUUCAAAAGUUCAGAUCAAAUUUGACAAGGAGACAUAACAGUUACACAAUUUGAUAAAAUCGGCCUAUUCAUUUUGCCUAUAGAAAAUACGUUUUAUUUAUUGCAAUGAAUAAACAUUCACUUAAUUUUGUAUGGAAACGUGAUGUCUUAUUAACCAAAAAAAUAAAAAUAACAAAAUGAUUGUUUUCGGAAACUAACAUAAGUUAUUUUGUUUUCUAAUUUCAAGUUUAAUUUUAAGGAGUAAAAUUCAUUGUUCCUGUAAUUUUCUGUUUUUCUCUUUAUAAUUCUUAAUAAAGCUUCUCCCCUUUGCCGAAGUUGAACCGAAAAAAAAAAAAAAAAACUCUGAUAGUCAAAUUAUUUGUGUAAAUACAAAUAUUGUACUAAUUAAGGGCAUGUGUCUUUAAUUAGAAAACUUAAAAGAUAAUUGGCUAUGCAGAUCAUUUAUUAAUUCUUCCAAAAAUAUCGUAAGCUAACAAUUCCGGAGAAUAUCUACCAUCUGCAAGUUGAUUUUUGUAGCUUUUCAAUUGUUAGGAUGGCCUAUGUUUUCCAACAACCGAAAACUAAAGCCAGCUUGCUACCAUUUCCUUUGUCGCACAAACCAAUCACAUGCUCAAUCGAAGGUGUGGGGUAAAAAUUUGCCUUCUUGGUGCUUGAAUUAAUGUAAAUUUUUUUUUUCAAAAUGCAAACGUUGCCUAAGAUGGUAAUUAACAUGCAUCAUGUUUGCUAUCGUUAUUGAUUUUUCUUGUUUUCUUUAAUUAUUUUUCUAGAAUUUUAGGUCUCUACUCCUCAUCAAUUUAAUUUCAUAACAAUAAAAUUACCUUAUCAACUUGAAACAGCCUUUUCAAAUUUUAGAAAAACACAUUCAAAUUUCGAAUUCCUAAUAAUAUUUUUGUGGGAUGCUAUGAGAUAUUCUCGUAGCUCACUGAUUUUGUAAGAGGCAUUAAGCGUGACAUGCCUAGAUACUAGUUCAGCAAUUAAGAAUUUGAGAACUUAAGUUUUAACUUAAUUUGAAUGGAAUUUGUUAUACUCUCGGGGAGUGUGUUUAAAUAUCAUCAUGAAGUGCGAGCACAAUUAGAUUGAUCUAGAGUUAGUUUUUAAUAGUUUCUAAAAAGUAAAAUUAAUAUUACUAUAAAUGACAUUGAUUAAUUGAUUGUUACUUACUCGCUUCAUUCUUUAGAGAAUUAGAGUAAAGAUUGGAGUCCUUUUGUGUGCAUAUUUAUAAAUAAAUUUGAUCUAUUUUAGAUCCAAAUAUCUUUUCUACACUAUUAUAAGACUGUCAUAUUAUUUAGAACAUCAAACUCAUAUUAAUUCAAGCUCACCAUAUAGAUGAUCCCAAGAAAUAUAUUUGCCAACCAAAUUGUAAGUAGGAUUCUAUUAAAAAGCUUUCAAAUUAAUUCUUAAAAAAAUGAAAAAGGUAGAAGGGUACAUAAUCUCACUUUCAACAAGCUACUAUAUAUAUAUAUAUAUAUAUAUAUAUAUAUAAUUAAUUUUGAGAUCUUGAAUCACUUUCCCUGUACAACGACACAACGUGUUGUAAAAUCAAGCUAAAACAACACAACAAAAAACUUCGACCCUCAUUCAAUGAAAGUAUGAAACGCCAGUGCAAAUUUUGUCAUAUUUUUGGGGGCCACCGCCAAUUUGCAUCGUUUCCCCUGUUCUUUUGUAUGCUCGCUGGCAAACAAGUGGGUCGAAUUAAAAAACUAAUAUUAUUAUCAUUUCAUAUCUAAAAAUAAAUAUUAAAAAAAGCAUUAUUAUUUAACAACCCAUUAUUCCCUUUCGAUCAAAACUAUGCAUAAAAUAAUAAAUAUCAAGCAGCAACCAUUAAUAUAUUGAGAAUAUAAAUAAUUAAAAAGAAAAAAAACAGCACAUUGGUUUCAGUUUUUAUAUAUCACAUAUGCACAGCAAGAUUGACACUUCUAUCCUAUUUUACCUAACAGAGUUAAAGAUCCACAUGGCUUUACCAAUGAGUGAAAGUGAAACAAGGACAAAUAAUCAAAUAAUAAUUAACUUCUCUUUUAUUUGGACUCUUUGGUCCAAGCAAUAAUGUAAGCUUCGCUCUAUAUAAUAAGCUUAUAACCUAAACUGUCCAGCAAAUUAAACAUACACUUCACACACAAGGCUUCUUGUUUUUGUAGUAGUUUCAUGGCAGCUUGAGUUUCUAUCUCUUCUUCCAAACCCUAGCUUAUAUAAUUAAACACUCGCAGUCUCUCUCUCUCUCUCUCUCUCUCUCUCUCUCUCUCUCGCUCUCUGGCUAGCUAGCUUAGCAACAACAUGGCUGCAGGCUUGGGAGCCAAGAGCAACAACAAUACUGACCCUCAAAACCAAAAAACUCUUGCGGAUUUUGAUCCCCAAAAGAAACCAAAAAGAAAUCUGUAUGCCUCCGGCGCUGCCAUUUUGGCUUCCAUGACUUCAAUCUUACUAGGUUAUGGUAAGUUAACUUUGCAAGAACCCUUUCUUGUAUCUAUAUCUAUAAGUUUGCUUUACAUCGUGAUUCACGAAACAUGCAUCAUGGAGAUGGAAGUAAUAAGGUUUCUUUGUGAAGAAAAUCUUCUCAGAAAGUGGAUAAGUUUUGUGUGGGUGUUAGUCGGUUUAACAGAAAAAAAUCUGUUUAAAUUAGUAUAAGAAAUUAAGAGUUCGAAUCUCGCUGUCAUAAGAUUUUAUUUCAUGCAUGCGUAAUUGGUUCUGCAUGCAUAAAUUAAUUAAGUUUUUUUUUUUUUUGGUAUUCUUUUCUCGUAGACAUUGGAGUAAUGAGUGGAGCUGCACUCUACAUCAAAGACGACUUUAAAGUCAGUGACACACAAAUCGAGAUCUUAAUUGGAAUCUUGAAUAUUUACUCACUCAUCGGCUCACUGGCCGCCGGCAGAACCUCCGACUGGAUUGGCCGCCGGUACACUAUAGUGUUAGCCGGGGCCAUCUUCUUCGCCGGAGCGCUGCUCAUGGGGUUCGCCACAAACUAUGCUUUCCUCAUGGGGGGUCGCUUCGUCGCCGGUGUCGGCGUCGGAUACGCUCUCAUGAUCGCUCCCGUUUACACAGCUGAACUCUCUCCGGCUUCCACUCGAGGCUUUCUCACCUCAUUUCCUGAGGUUUGUGCUUCUUCUUCUUGUUUUUGGAAAUGGCUUUCUUGUUUCUUAAAACAGAAUUAAUUUUGAACGGAUGAUACUUUUACUUUCCAAAGUUUUGAAGUACAACCCUUCAAAACACUCAAAUGAGUAACGGUAUAAAUGCGUUUCGCUUUUUUUGUAUUUUAAGAUUUUAUCGUCUAAAUCCGUGACGUACUGACGUAUUAAUUAAAUAAAGUAAUCUCUAGUCUCCUCACUAGUGUUAGGACCUAUCUUAAAAACCAAGCUAAUAUUUGAUCCUUAACUAAAUAUAAUAAAAUAUAAGGGGUUUAAUGAUAUUAUCCUCUUUUCAACGUUUCAGGUUUUCAUUAACGGCGGGAUAUUACUUGGCUACGUCUCGAACUACGGAUUCUCCAAACUACCCCUCCACUUAGGCUGGCGCAUGAUGCUCGGAAUCGGCGCCAUUCCGUCGGUGCUUCUCGCCGUCGGCGUGUUAGCCAUGCCAGAAUCUCCGCGCUGGCUGGUGAUGCAAGGCCGACUCGCCGAUGCAAAGAAAGUUCUCGACAAAACCUCGGACUCGAAAGAGGAGUCUAUGCUCAGACUCGCCGAUAUCAAAGAAGCAGCCGGCAUUCCUGAAGACUGCAACGACGACGUCGUUCAAGUACCGAAAAUCAACCGUGGCGAAGGCGUAUGGAAAGAGCUGCUGGUCCGUCCUACACCGGCCGUUCGUCACAUCAUAGUCGCAGCCGUUGGUAUUCAUUUCUUCCAACAAGCAUCCGGCAUAGACGCUGUCGUUCUGUACAGUCCUAGAAUCUUUGAAAAAGCUGGGAUUGCGUCAUCAGACAAAAAGUUACUCGCUACUGUAGCCGUUGGAUUUGUCAAGACCACUUUCAUCCUAGUGGCUACGUUUUUACUCGACAAAAUCGGACGGCGUCCGUUGCUUUUGAGCAGUGUUGCGGGCAUGAUCGCCUCGCUCGCGACCCUUGCUAUCUCUCUCACAGUCAUAGAUCAGUCACACAAGAAGAUGAUCUGGGCUAUUGGUUUGGCCAUCUCAACGGUUUUAUCCUACGUGGCGUUUUUCUCAAUCGGGAUGGGUCCCAUCACGUGGGUUUACAGUUCAGAGAUUCUGCCGUUGAAGCUACGCGCUCAGGGAGCGAGUAUCGGGGUCAUGGUGAACAGGGUAACAAGUGGGGUCGUAUCGAUGACUUUCCUAUCGCUUAGUAAAGCGAUCACGAUUGGCGGCUCCUUCUUUCUAUACGCGUCAAUUGCAUCAGUUGCGUGGGUGUUUUUCUACACGUGUCUCCCCGAAACGCAGGGUAAAACCCUUGAAGAGAUGGGGGCGCUCUUUGGUAAUUUCCGUUGGCUGAGGGAUUCCAAGAGAGAGAAGAGGAGGAACAAAGCCAACGAGAUUAACGGUGACGGUGCGAGUAACGUUCAGUUAGGGCCGGUUUCUAACGGUAACUGAAGGGUAUUUUAGUAAAUACGAUGCUUUUUAAAAUCUUGGUAUAGCUUUGUGAAAUGAAUACUGUGUCGCGGUGUGUGUGUGCUGAUCACUAAUGGGCGAUUGAAGAAGUCAUUAUGCAAUGAAAAUGAAGCACUAUGAAUCAAAUAGAUAUAAUACUUCUUAUAAUUCCUGUCUCUUUAAAAUUUGCGUGAAUGGUUAAAAUUUUGGUUCGCAUUGCAAUGAUGAUUCUAAUGCCUCAAUUGUCAUUCUGGACUUGAGCAAAAAUCUUAUGCCUAAAACUUUUUGUAAUCGUAUUUAAUUCGAUAGACAUAUUCAAGGUUGUUUAUUUGAUUCGAUUGACAUAAUGUGACUAAAUUUCUAUGUAAGUAGUAACCAAAGAACGUAAUUGUACUUCAAUAGCUCUUGUUAUAAUGAUUAAUGAAUUAGUGGAAAUGGCAAAAUAAAUUAUGAGGAAGUGGGAAAGCUCCAAUUAUUGAGGAGAUAGAUAUAUGUUGUGAUCAACAAAGUGUCUUUGUGCAUGCAUUUGGGGCUGAAAUUGCCAUGCUCUUGGACACUUCAUUGUUGGUGGUAAAUGGUGAUGGUUAUUUUUCUUUUUUGUUUAAGAAAUUAUUAUAAUAUUUGCUUGGCUAUGCCCUUUCUUACCUAUAAAUUUUCGUCUUCUUAUAAUAAAAGAGAUUAGUUUAUGUUAUGUGGCUUUUAGAAUAAGAGGUCCAUUCGUGCAUAUGUCGACGGUCGAUUGAAUUGACUACUUAUGAAGUUUAUUUGAAGUAGAAACAAAGAGACCUCGCAAUAUUUAUGCAUGUUGCCUUUUCCUAGUUUAGUUUGUAAAUUCGGGAAUCAUGAUAUAUUGACAUGUUUAUAAUACAAUUUCGGACAUGGGCUUUUUGAUUGGUCCCCUCCAAAAAAGGCGUAAUUAUUAAUUUAUUUUUUUUCUUGGUGUGUGAAUUGUGAAAUGCGUGAUCAAAACAAGCUGACGCUGUAAAUUAAGUAACCUUCUUUGGUUUUUUAGGUAAGACAAUAGUUUUAACUUUGAAGGUUUUCAAUUCCUUGGAAAUUUGUCUUAAUAAAACUUACCCAUAUAAGUUGUGCAUUUUGAAGCGACAUAACAGGAAAAGAUUUCAGUACAUAAUAAGGUCUACAAAGUAACAAGAUUUUCAUAUUUUUUUUUAAAUAAAACAAAUGUACAUGCAAACAUACGACCCUAAUUACCAAAACCAAGAGAUGAAAAUGCAAGAUACGAGCGCCCGUAAGCGAUCAAAUAAUGAGGCAUUUGAUGUGGUGUUUUCAAUACAUGGAUCAGCGCAUAAUCGGUCUGUGCUGGGAAUUUCAAUCUCAUUCUGACACAGCACCUGCGUGAUAUCUUGAGAGAUCACGUUUCAGGGACCCAUCAUCCUAAUUAUUAUAUACCGUCCAUGCAUUAAUGUUAAUAUGCCCACUGAUGAAUGGUUUUGCAGCUUGAGUAAGACGGUGGCAAUUGGCAAAUCCUACACGUUUUUUUUGUCACUCUAUUAUCAUUUAUCACUAGGACAAAGUAACGAACACCGACAUCAGACUGGCCUCUUGUCUUAUAAAGGAAAGAGUUUUGAUAUUUACCCCGGGUCAAACCCCGAAACUAAACAAAACGACGCCGUUUGGUUUUUUUUUUUUUUCUCUAAAACGUUGCCGUUUGACUUAGCAUUUGCAAAAUGACUCUGCAGAAUCCUUGCGUCUCUCUUCUUCUUUGUUCGACUUAACAACUGUUUUUCUCUUCAUCAUCUUCGUCUUAAGUUGUGAUCUUUCUCUUACAAAGAACGCACUCAUUUAAUGAAGAAUGUGAUUAACAGUAGCUGCAAAAUUUAUCCGUGAAAGCUGAGUUUCGGUUACUAAGCUGAGUUUCAGCGGAACAAGAUCAACAGCGGCUGUGAAGUUUCGGCAGAACAAGAUUAACUGAGUAUUUGUUUCUAUAUUGCAUUUUGAAUGUUGAUUAAUGAGUUGGGCAUUUGUUUGUAUAUCCCAGCCUUAUACUGCAAUGCUUUUACAAAGGUUGAAUUUGGAGAUGCAGAAAUCGACUACUCACAAUAAAUGAAUCUCAAAUUAAUAAUUUUACCGCGAAUUAGGAAGUACAAUCAACCCAGCAUAAGAAUCCAAAACUUUAAACCACCACAAUUUCCUCACUUUAUCUGCUACAAGCAUAGCAUGAAAAUGAACAAAAGCAUGUGAGGCAUCACCCAUAACAGCCUCUUUAGACAGAUUCUGCAGCUACUCAUAUCAGUCAGAUAUACAUGCACAAGUGCGUGGGUGUGUAAACACACAGAGAGAGAGAGAGAGAGAGGGCAAAUUAUCCUGAGUUAGAAAUUAUCCUGUUUCUCCAUUAUUUCGAGAUGUUUUUUUUACGGGAGAGAGUUGAACACAACAAUACUCAGAGGUAGGGGUGGGCAUUUUACCCGAUCCGACCCGACCCGACCCGAUAAAUUUCGGGUUCGGGUCGGAUCGGGUCGGGAUUGAAACCCGAUCGGAUUGAAACUUACAAACCCGAUAGGGUUGUGAUCGGUUCGGGUCAAACCCGACCCGAUCCGAAUACCCGAUCGGGUUCCCAAAAAAAAAAAAAAUUGAUUUCUGGCAUGUGUCUGUACUCUUUAUUGAGCAUAUUUCCCUCUCCAUUCUCCAACAGCAAUCGAAUCACACCAAUAACCAAUCCAAAAAGUUGGCAGCCAUUCUGUCAAAAUUCUUCUCAAAGACAUUUUAAAUUUUAAUAAAGAAAAUAAAGUUGCCUUGGAUGGCAUUUUGCAAGUGCAAUGAUGACUGAAGCAAUCCUCACCCUUUUCUGUUUUUGUCCAAUUUAAUCAUUCAAAAGAGAUCUUAUCAUCUACCCAACGCCAAGCAAUUGAUAAAUUUCGAGCAUUUGACAAAUUGUUUAAGAACAGAACAAUUUCUUUUUGGAGGAAAAAAAAAAAAACAAAAAGGGGAGAGACCGAGAGAGGAUGAGAAAGAAACAAAGAAAGAAAUUUGUCACGGGAAACAAAUUUGAAUUUGUCAUGCUGCUGCACAGCACACACACAGAACACUAGAACAGAAGUCACAAGCUGCCAGCCACUGAGCCACACACACAUAGUCACAUACGCUGCUGCACACAUAGAACUAUAGAAGCCACAAGCUGCACACUGCACAGCACACACAAGUCACAAGCUGCACAGCACACACACUGACACUGUGACACACACGCUGCAAGUGCACAGCACACACACACACACGCUGCACUCAACAAUUCACUCGCAAAGACGCAAACCUAACACACACACACGCUGCCUGUCAGCCACAACUUCACAAAUCACAAACACAAACACAAACAAUGAAACAACUGAACAAGGCAGCCGCAACCCGCAACCCGCAACCCGCAAGUCUGCAACCAGCCACCACAAGACGCGAUCUGUUGCUGCCAACUGCUGAAAUCACGAUCUGUUGCUGCCAAGUGAAGUCGCGACCAGCUGCUGCCAAGUCAAACCCGUCCAGCCGUGAGUCGUGAGCCGCCCGCAUCUCCGAGAUCUGCUGCUGCCAACUCCCAAGUGAAGCCGCGAUCUGCUGCCAAGUGAAAUCCCGUCCGUCCAGCCGUGAGCCGUGGCCACCGAUCUGCUGCUUGAAGGCCGAAUCCUCUCCACCCGAACCCGAUUUUGAAGCUUUCCGGUUUCCACCUUCCACUUUCAAGCUUCAAGCCUUCAACCUUUUGACCCGUUUCCUAAGUGUUUCCUGUUUCGUUUCAUGGUAUAUAUACACUAUAUAAUUAAUUAAUUAUAUAUGCUAAAUAGUUUAUUAUGUAAUUUAGUAAUUGUUUAUUAUUUAAUUGUUGUAAUGAACGAAUUAUGUAUUUAUAAAUAUUAGUAAUAAAAUCAAGGAAAUUUUGUUAAUUAUUGAGCUCACAAGAAAUUAUUUUUUUUCAUAUAUAAAAAGGAAUUGUCGAUUGGUGGGUUUUGUUAAUUGAUAAUUGAUAAUUGUUAAUAAUUGUUAAUAAUAGUUAAUAAUUGAAAUAAUAUUAAUUGAUAAUUGUUAAUAAUUGUUAACAAUAAUUAAUAAUUGAUUUUUUUAUGAAUAAAUUAGCACAUUAGGUAGAUUAAAUAUUAAAAUUAAGUAUUAUGUUGUAUAUGUUUUAUAAUUAUAAUGUGUUUAUGUUAUGUAAUUAUGUGUACUUGUGCAGUAGCGUCAAGCUUUCAACCCUAAACAAAUUAAUAAAUUCAAUUAAUAUUAUAUUAUAUGUUAAUCAUCCGUUAAGUUGUUAAGUACAAGUAACUUGGACUUGAAAUUAAAGGAUUUAAUUUAUAAUAAAAAAUAAGAUAUAGAUAGACAAAUAAUAUCAUAUUAUUUAUUAUGGGAAAUGGGUAAUUGGAUAUUAUAUAUUAUAUUAAAAUUAAGUAUCAUGAAUUUCUUACUUUUUGUUUAUGGAGCAUGAACAACUUGAAUUGAAAUUACUAAUUUUUGUUUAUGGAUUAUGUUAAUAAUAUUUAUGUGUUUUGAUUUUUGAAUUAAUAAUAACAUUUUCUUUUCUUUUUUUAGUUGAAAAUUAGUAAAAAUGACUACAAUUAAGAAAAAUGUCUUAAAACUUUCAUAAAAACUACAAUAAUAGGAAAAAAAAGAGCUCAAAAUUGUAUUAACCGAAUUUGACCCGAAUUGACCCGAAUGGACCCGACCCGAAUUGACCCGAAUUGACCCGAAUUGACCCGAACUGACCCGAAUUGACCCGAACUCAAUCCAACUCAUUUUAAAUCCAACCCGAUCCAACCCGAACAUAACCCGAAUUAUUGACCCGACCCGAACCGACCCGAACUAUGUUCGGGUCGGGUCAAUAAUUCGGGUUAUGUUCGGGUUGGUUCUUGUCUAACCCGAACAACCCGAAACCCGAUCGGGUUGACCCGAACCCGAUUUUGCCCACCCAUACUCAGAGGAGGGUUUGCGAAAAAGAUGAAGAAAUAGAUUUAUGAAUGAGAGGGAGGGAUGAGGGUUUUUUGCAGAGUGUUGCACCAGUUUGUGCAGUAAUCUUUGAAGGUAAGUGUUUGCGAUUUCUUGCGGGAGAAAAGAAAAGCAAAGGAUCUUGGCAUCUUUGAAGAAGAUGAUGAUUUGAACUUGAUGUGAGCAAAUUUGUUGUUUCUUCAUAAGUAGCCAGAGAAAAUGAUACAGGAAAGAGUUAAGUGAAAGAUGGGAAACGAAGAAGUAAAGGGGAAAUAGGCAAGCAAAACGCGCCGUUCCUUGACUUUAGUUGUGAAACGGUGCGUUUUGAGUUUUCGGGGUUUGACCCGGGGCAAACAUCAUUUUCCUAAAGGAAAACACUACACUGGAGUAUCUCUAACCAAUACAACGAAAAGGUUCGAUAAAAAAUAAUGUCAUGUUAGUUGUAUAUGUAUGAUCAAAUUCACACCUUCUUUCACCUGCUGAUGCAGUAAGCCGUAGAAGUGUGAUUGAUCAAUCGACACUAAAUAUUAUAUCUAUACUGUUGGGGAAAAAUAUAGGUUUUUAAAUUUUUAUAAAACCUUUUUAAGAUCGCUCUCAUAUAAUAUAUAAGAAUACGUAAUCUAGAAAUCGUACCUUAAAAAUUCGAUUUGACUUUUUCCGCUGAAGUGAUUUAGGCUCUCAGAUCACGAUCCGUCACCACCACUCCUGUUAGAUCACGAUCCGUCACCACCACGCUUGUUAGAACACGAACUGGCACCAAUGAUCUUCUAGGUUAUGACUCAGGUUUGAUCUGCACUUGACUUGUGGGCGCCUUUAUCACUACCAAAGCAACUAGCAUGAGAAAAUUUUUCUCUCAACAAUAGAGAGAAAAAUCUUUUUCUCUGAUCUGUAUAAAGUGGCUGCUCACCUUUUUCUUUAGAGAAAAUAAGUCUUUUUAUAUCUCCUUUUAGUGAAAACCCUAGGCUCCAAAUAAUGAAAAACAAAACUUACGUUACUUGCUUUUUCUAUAGGGGACCCACCUUGUCAAAUAACAUAAGGCCCCUUACAUACAAGCUAAUUAAAUGGAGCCUCCCACUAAAUGAUAUAUUUAGGCUUUUGACCCAAAUAGCUAGUUAUCUUACUUAUUAAUCCAGUAGUGGUGCAAUCAAUUAAAUGAGCUAACCCGGGGAUCAUUUGGGAACAUACAAUAGUGGCUACAAUAAUUAGGCCUGUAAUUAAACUAGCCUAAUUAUUUAAUUCCAAAUCUACUCCACUAAAAGAUUGGAUCUGACUUCCAUAAUUGUAUGCUCGAAUAAUAAUUCGUCCCAAGCCAUAUUGAUUUCUUUACUGCACAAUCAUUUGUACUACAUCGUUAAUUAAAUUGAUAUCUCAACUGUCCAAUCAAUUUAAUAACAUCUUAUUCCUUGAUACUUACUGGUUUUCUCUAAUGAUCAUUUUCAGAAAAAAUAUUUAUUACAAUUAAAUAAACACAUAUGCUUUUAAAGAGCAUAUUUUCCCAACAAUCUCCCACCAGCUCUUAAAGCAUAUCUGGCAUAUUGCACAUGCUCUAGGGCUCUAAGUGCAGGUUAUAAAGGUUUCCCACUAAUGGUCAUUGUAAUAAGAUCUGCCGUUUAGCAUCUAAUGCCACUUGUGGUACUAUUAUAUAACCUUUCUACACUAUUCCCUUAUAAGAUGAUACUUCCUCUCAAUAUGUUUUUGUUUCUUGUGGUUCCUUAAAUUGAGCUACCGCACCACUAUUAUCGCAAAAUAGUUUAAGGGGUGCAGUUACAACAGGUACCACCUUAAGAUCUUGUAGGAACUUGCGGAGCCAUACAACUUCUUUUGCAGCUUCGGAUGCAGCCACAUAUUCAGCUUCAGUUGUGGAGUCUGCGAUACAAGAUUGUUUCACACUCCUCUAACUAAUAGCUCCACUUCCCAAUGUAAAAACAUAGCCGGAAGUUGAUUUUUUGAAAUCCUUAUUUGACAUAAAGUCAAAAUCAGUAUAACCCACUGGAAUAAGUUCAUCACUAGAAUACACAAGCAUAUAAUUUUUAGUUCUUUUCAUAUACUUUGUAAUAUGCUCGACUGCAUUCCAGUAUUGAGGUCCAGGAUUAAAUUGAUAUCUGCAAACCAUCCAUACCGUAAAAUAGACGUCUGGCCUGGUGUAAAACAUGACAUACAUGAGACUUCCCACAGCUUCUGCAUAGGGAACUCGUCUCAUUCUCUCUAUCUCUUCAGAUAUUUUAGGUGAUUGAUCAUUAGAGAAUGUAAUUCCACGUCUGAAUGGUAAUAAACCAGUAUUGGAAUUUUCCAUGCUAAAUCUAGCCAAUAUCUUAUCGAUAUAGACCGCUUGAGACAAUGCUAAAGUUUUAUUUUUCCGGUCUCGUAGUAACUUGAUACCAAGAAUAUAACUUGCCUCUCUCAGGUCUUUGAUAUCAAAUUGUUUUGCUAACCAACUCUUUAUUGUAGUCAAUACUCCUAUAUCGUUUCCAAUUAGGAGAAUAUCGUCUACAUAAGGAAUUAGGAAGGUUAUAUAUUUUUCUUGAAUUUUCUUAUACACACAUGGUUCAUCAAUGUUCUGAAUGAAUCCAAACGAUUUAAUCGCUUGAUUAAAUCUGAUGUUCCAUGACCGGGAUGCUUGCUUCAAUCCAUAAAUGGAUCUCUACAACUUACAUACCAUGUGUUCUUGGCCUUUUGUAUAAAUCCAUUUGGUUGCUGCAUGUAGAUGUUUUCUUCAAGAUACCCGUUAAGAAAGGCAGUCUUGACAUCCAUUUGCCAAAUUUCAUAAUCUAGCACUGCAGCAAUAGAGAGCAGAAUCCUGAUGGAUUUAAGCAUAGCAACCAGAGAAAAAGUUUCCUCCUAAUCGAUUCCCUCUUUUUGAGUAAACUCUUUGGCUACUAAUAUUGCUUUAAAUAUUUCCACCAUUCCGUCUAGUCCUCUUUUUCUCUUAUAGAUCCACUUGCACCCUAUAGGUUUUACCCCAUUUGGUGCCUCUACAAGUUCCCAGACUUUAUUAGAAUACAUAGAUUCAAUUUCUUAAUUCAUGGCCUUUUUCCAAAAUUCAACAUCUCUAUCUAUUAUAGCUUCGUUGUAACUAGUGGGAUCUUGUACAUGUUCAUCUGAGAUAGCCGUAUAGGUUUCUCCUAAAAACAUGUAUCUCGCAGGUAACCUAGUUACCCUCCCACUACGACGAGGUUCUAAAAGUGAUGGUUGCUCAGGGAUAAUCCUGUGUUGAUCAUUUGGUUGUUGCUGUUCUUCCUGUUUUGUAAUAGGCGUUGAAAGCUGAGCAUCAACCUGAUCACCUUUUUUUAUUUCUCUAGUUUUACCUUACUCUUAGGUAAGAAGUCAUUAUAUAGUCUUCCUCAAAGAAAGUAAAAAAUAUGUCCACAAAUACAUUCCUAUCUUGAGGACUAUAAUUCAGACUUUCCCUUAUUCCAUUAAGAUACCUUAAACAUGCAAGCUUCUGAACACAAAUCCAUCUUCUCUACCUCUGAUUCUAGUAGAAAUACUAGUAAACUCCAAAUACGAAUGUGUCUCAAACCAUGUUUGUGACUUUUUCAUAAUUUCUUAGAGUAGUAGACACUGAGAUAGAUGAAACUAAGUUCAAUAAACUUUGUAGUAUUAAAUAUUAGUAUCUGGAAUCAAAAGGUAAAUGAUAAACCACUUAGUAUAUAUCUUGUUUUAUCCAAAAGAAUCUUGUUUCUCCAUUUAAUUAAACUAUUGUAUCAUAGUGUUCAUUAACAACCAAAUAGUGCUUGAAUUCUCCAUAGAGAUAUUCUUUGUUUCGAUCAUAUCGAAGUUCUUUUAUGUUCCUGUCUAAUUGCUUCUAUCUUAUCCACGUACUCUUUUGAAUUUCAAAAGCAAUGGAAUCAUGACGCAUUUAAACAAACAUAAAUAAAAUGAAUAUUCAUCAACAAGAUUGAUAGAAUAUUCAUAACCUCUUAUAACAUGUAAACUUAUUAGUCCAUAUACAUUUGUAUGCGCUAAAUCAUCAAAUACAAUGUUAUGCUUUUAGCUCUAAACGAGCAUCUUCGUCAUAUUACUUUUCUAAAUAAGAUUUAUAGAGUUACAAUGAUCAAUCUUAAUAGGCCAACAAGUCUAUCAUUAAUCAUUUUCUUAAAAUCUUAUUAUAAUUUAUAUGACUUUAGCAUAAAUAUCAGAGGUGAUUUUGGUUUGAAGAAACAUUUCUUUUCUUAGAUAAAUGCAUAUACUCUUUAUCAUUAUAUCUUGCUUUGAAUAAAUCAAUGGACUUAUAUGAUAUAAAUUGUCUUUAUAAAUAACCAAAAUAAAUAAUAAACAGAGGAUAAAAAAAUAACAGUGUACUCCUGUUUAUUAAACAAGUCACCGAAAUUAAAUUCCUCUAAUAUUUGGAAAAAUAAAGACAAAUAUCAAAACUUUAAGUCUUGUAAAAUUGAUCUAGCCUUUCAAUUGAUAUAAACUAGCAUGUCAUCAACUACUGUUUGAAGCUUUCUUCACUUAAUCUCUUGGUUUCCUGAAAACCAAAUAAAUGAAUUACAAAUAAGAUUAGUUAUCUCAGAAUUCAUUAUUGUAUGAAUCUAUAGAAAUCUUUAGGAAGCUUAAAGAUUUCUUAUACCUGAUUUUAAUAAUUUUAGGACAAUCUUUCUUCCAGUGACCAUUCUGUCCACAUUUGUAACACUUGCCUUUUGGCUUGCCACUUCUUUUAGUGGACAGUUUGCCGAUCCCAACUCUUGCUUGCUCAUUCUUGUCUUUCGACUUAAGCCUUAAAGAGAAUCCUUUUUCAGGAAAUUUUCUGCUAUGAUAAAAUUCUUUUAUAGCAUGUAGUUCGUACAUUAAUUCAAUUAAGGUCAUAUCUUUAUUGUUUAAGAUAUAGCUGACCUUAAACUCUUUGAAUGUAUCAGGUAAAGAUUCAAUCACCAUGUUAAUCUUUGGUUUAUCAUUUAUUUGAACACCAUGAAUCUCUACCUCAUUCAAAUAUUCCAUCAUUUUGAGGACAUGAUCCCGAACUUUUGUGCCCUCUUCCAUCUUAGUAUCCGUAAUACGUUUUAAUGCUGCUUCUCUAGCAAAAUGAGUAUUUUUUCCAAACAUCUGAUGAAGACUAGCCAUUAUUCCAAUGGUUGUUUCCAUGCUCCGAUGUUUCUUAUGUCGUUCCACAGAAAUCGAAGCCAAUAUAUAGCGCUUAGUCAUUUUGUUAGCUUCGCACCAUUUCUCAUAAGGCUCAUUCUGAUUUCUAUAAUCGUAUAGCGAUGGUUCAGGAGGACAAGGCUGGGUCAACACAUAUUUGCAGCCCUUAGCAGUGAGAAUAUUAAAUAGAUUGUGUUUUCAAUCUAAAUAAUUUUCGCCAGUGAGUUCAUUUUAACAAAGAUAAUUAAUAAUGGGUUGAUGGAAGACAUUUUCUAAAUAAAAAAAAUGCACAUGCAUAAAUACUUUGAAACAAAAUUCACAAUAAAUGACAAAAAUACAAAAAAACAUAAAUGCAUUUUAAUUUAUUGUAACGAUAAUCUAGUACCGCUUUGACAAGCUAUCCGUUGGGGAAGUUACGUCUAUAUUUACUAGACCCAAUUAUCCAUUGGAUUAUUUACUUUCAUGUAGAGACAUGAUAAAUAAUUAUUGUUAUCCCUUUGGGCCUAAAUUUGUUAACAGAGCUUCGUUGGGAAGGUUAAUAAUAAAUUUUAGUUGAGUGUAUAACCAUUGUUUCAAUCUACGUAUUUUUCAUAUCAAUAGUCACCGUUGGGGUGAACAAUUGAUUGAAAAAAUAUUUCAAUUUUAUCUUUGAAGAAGUUCAUCAAAUAAAAUAUCUAAUAUAUAUACCCUCCGUAUGGAGCAUCACCGUAUCAUGAAGUCGAUGUAUAUAUAUAAUUUUAUUAUUGAACUAACAAUGGAGCCCGUGGGAAAAAUUAUCUUGAAUUUUCCCUCUCCCACUCAAUAUUUUAAAAAUUGGUUUUUCCUUUUUAAAACAUACAUAUUGUUAAUUGCAUGCUUCCUAUAAUAUUAUUUAGAUGAUAUCCAAUAUUAUUAAGCAAUCGCAAAUUACAAACAAUCUAGCGAGAUUCAUAAUUAAUGAAUGACAUGUUAUCAUGGCAUGUUUUCAUCCAAAACAUAACAUAUAGAAAAAUAAUUAAAUAAUCUUAAUUCAUGGCUUUCCUAAUAAUGAAAAAUACAUUAACCCUAAGCCUAAUCUUCAUUGGGCUUCUUGUCAAUGUCCAUCUUCCAUAAGCUUGUCUUUAAUGAACUAGGGGAAAUUGGGCUUUUAAAUUUAUAAUUGGUCCAAUUUUAAUUUUGAAAAGGAACAGGACACAAGGGAAAUAAAUAAAUAAAUAAAUUUAUUAAAGGGAAAAGGACAAACACACCCCCAACGUUUAGGUAAAGGGACAAAAACCUCCCUAAUGUUUUAAAAAAGACAUUUACACCAUAAUUUAUUAUAAUUUUACCAUUACCCUUCUAGCAUAUAAAAAAAUUAUUAGAUUAUCCAAUUUGACUAUAUAUUGUUAAUAAAAUUAUAAAUAUACUCUCAUUGCCUCAUUCCUCUAUUUAAAUUUUUAUCAAUAAUCAAUUUUAAAGAAAGACAUCUACACACUUGAAAAAAAUUGUAAAUAAAUUAUAAUUUAUAAAAAAUUGGUUAUGAAUACCAUAAUAAAUAACAUAGAAAAUUGGUUAUAAAUGUACAAUUUUAAAUGAUUGACAUGUGGAGAAUUGUUAAAUAUACAAGUUUAAAGUUUAAAUAAAAUUAGUUAUUAAUAACCAAUUUUAUUUUUUAAAUUAUAAUUUUUUUACAAUUUUUUUAGGUGUAUAGAUGUAUUUUUAAAAAAUUGGUUAUUGAUAAAAAUUUAAAUAGAGGAAUUUGGCAAUGAGGGUAUAUUUAUAAUUUUUUUUUAUAAUAUUCAAUUUGUCUAUUUAUAAUUUUAUUAACAAUAUAUAGACAAAUUGGAUAAUCUAAUAAUUUUUUUUAUAUGCUAGAAGGGUAUAAUGGUAAAAUUAAAAUAAAUUGGGGUGUAAAUAUCCUUUUUAAAACAUUAGGGGGAAUUUUGGUCCCUUUACCUAAACGUUGGGGGUGUGUUUGUCCUUUUCCCUUUAUUAAAAUAAAACUUUUGGACCAAAAAUAAAUUUAAUGUAUUCAAUUUUAUCUAUGCAUUUUAAACCAUUAAGCCCUAUUGAAAUUGGGGCUAAAGCUAUGAUUCAUUAAGCCCAAAACUAUUUUUGGACUUAAAUGCAAAAAAUUUAAACGUGUCUGCCCAAAAGAAAAAACUACGGAGCCAUAGGGACCUCAAUGAUAGAAACCAUUGAAACCCUAAAUCCAUCUUUUUCUCUUUCCUUUCUUCCCCAGCCGCCAUCUCCAAAAAAACAGCCAUUGUUCGCUAUUUUUGCACCAGACAGCCGCGCCAUUAACGCUGGAAACAAACCAACCCUGCGCGCGAUGCUUGCUGGAGCGCACGCUGCUGUUGCGUACGAUGCUACUGCGCGCGCCGCUAGCCAGGCUGGCUACGCGCAUCGCUUGCUGCCCGCAGCGCGCGCUGCUAGCAGCGUGUGCUGCCUGCUGCAUGCAUUGCCAACAUGCGCUUGCAGCUUGUACUGCACAUUGGCUGCAGCGAGUGCGCUGGUCGGUGGUCGCUAUUGAAAUUUUCGGCCUCCGUCGCUUUGAGCUCGUUUUCCAGUGAUGAUUUUUCAGUCAUUUACAAAUUUUCUAUGCCAAUUUUUGGCUUACAAAAUUUCCAUUAUAGUAAAAUAAAUCAGGAGGGAAACAUGGUGAUGAAAAACCACUCCUCUUGUUAUAGAUCCAAACAAAAAAUACAGCAGAAAAUCUAACCAUGAAUUAAGACAAACCAAAACAUGCUUUAUUCAUAUAUUAAACAAAUAAUAUAUAUCUGAAUAAAUUAUGCUACUCUAAUACAUAAAUUUCAAAAAUGAUUUCAUACAAUAUUCUUAUAUAUUAAUAUGGGAUGGCUCUAAUACCAAUUGUUAGGGAAAAAUACAAGUUUUUAAAUUUUUAUAAAACCUUUUUAAGAUCGUUCUCAUAUAAUAUAUAAGAAUACGUAAUCUAGAAAUCGUAUCUUGAAAAUCCGAUUUGACUUUUUCCGCUGAAGUGAUUUAGCUCCCAGAUCACGAUCCGUCACCACCACUCCUGUUAGAUCAUGAUCCGUCACCACCACGCUUGUUAGAACACGAACUGGCACCAAUGAACUUCUAGGUUAUAACUUAGAUUUGAUCUGCACUUGACGUGUGGGCGCCUUUAUCACUACCAAAGCAACUAGCACGAGAAAAUUUUUCUCUUAACAAUAGAGAGAAAAAUAUUUUUCUCUGAUCUGUAUAAAGUGGCUGCUCACAUUUUUCUUUAGAGAAAAUAAGUCUUUUUAUAUCUCCCUUUAGUGAAAACCCUAGACUCCAAAUAAUGAAAAACAAAACUCACGUUACUUGCUUUUUCUAUAAGGGACCCACCUUGUAAAAUAACAUAAGGCCCUUUACACACAAGCUAAUUAAAUGAAGCCUCCCACUAAAUGAUAUAUUUAGGCUUUUGACCCAAAUAGCUAGUUAUCUUGCUUAUUAAUCCGGUAGUGGUGCAGUCAAUUAAAUGAGCUAACAUGGGGAUCAUUUGGGAACAUACAAUAGUGGCUACAAUAAUUAGGUCUGUAAUUAAACUAGCCCAAUUAUUUAAUUCCAAAUCUACUCCACUAAAAGAUUGGAUCUAACUUCCAUAAUUGUAUGCUCGAAUAAUAAUUCGUUCCAAGCCAUAUUGAUUUCUUUACUGCACAAUCAUUUGUACCACAUCGUUAAUUAAAUUAAUAUCUGAACUGUCCAAUCAAUUUAAUAACAUCUUAUUCCUUGAUACUUACUGGUUUUCUCUAAUAAUCAUUUUCAACAUACUAAAUAUGUUGACACACUCUGGCCAGAGAAUUCUAUGAUCAAGUGCCGAAAACUCAUCAAGAGAUGUGUUGUACAAAUUCUAUAUUGUUAAUCUAUAACUCCAAUACUCAUAAAUGCUCCCACCAAGAUACCGGGUAAUCUAGACUACAAGUAUGUGUCAUGCCCAUUGGUAACCCAAAUGGAAUAACAAUUACAAUCAUGAAAUCAUAAUUAAUUCAAGAUUAAGAUUACAGUAAAAUCAAUGCCUAUGAGAUUUAAUAAGUCUGACAGUUAUUACAAAGUUAAUUAAAUCUCAUAUGUGAUCCUAUUCAAUGUAGUCGUACUACAUCAAUAAAUUCAUACAUGAUUAAGACAAAUCAUUCAAUGAAUUUAUUACAGUCUAUACCUAAAUAAAGUGUCCAACUUUAUUUAUCAACUGCGAACUAAAUUUAUUUAAUCAUAAGAUAACUUGUAUUUAUGUCUUAUGUGAAUCCACAUGGUGAUCACAUAAAUACAUAUAAUAUGAUUAAAUGGACUUUAAUAAAAAUAUUAAUGCAAUUAAGAUAUUUGAAUAAAAUACCUCAUUAAUUUUAUUAAUCAGAAAAAAUAUUUAUUACAAUUAAAUAAACACAUAUGCUUUUAAAGAGCAUAUUUUCCCAACAAUCUCCCACUAGCUCUUAAAGCAUAUCUGGCAUAUUGCACAUGCUCUAGGGCUCUAUGUGCAGGUUAUAAAGGUUUCCCACUAAUGGCCAUUGUAAUAAGAUCUGCCGUUUAGCAUCUAAUGCCACUUGAGGUACUGUCAUAUAACAUUUCUACACUAUUCCCUUAUAAGAUGAUACUUCCUCUUAAUAUUUUUUUGUUUCUUGUGUUUCCUUGGUUCCUUAGAUUGAGCUACCGCACCACUAUUAUCGCAAAAUAGUUUAAGGGGUGCAGUUACAGCAGGUACCACCUCAAGAUCUUGUAGGAACUUGCGGAGCCAUACAGCUUCUUUUGCAGCUUCGGAUGCAGCCACAUAUUCAGCUUCAGUUGUAGAGUAUGCGAUACAAGAUUGUUUCACACUUCUCCAAAUAAUAGCUCCACUUCCCAAUGUAAACACAUAGCCGGAAGUUGAUUUUUUGGAAUCCUUAUCUGACAUAAAGUCAUAAUCAGUAUAACCCACUGGAAUAAGUUCAUCACCAGAAUACACAAGCAUAUAAUUUUUAGUUCUUUUCAUAUACUUUAUAAUAUGCUCGACUGCAUUCCAGUAUUGAGGUCCAGGAUUAAAUUGAUAUCUGCAAACCAUUCAUACCGCAAAAUAGACGUCUGGCCUAGUGCAAAGCAUGACAUACAUGAGACUUCCCACAGCUUCUGUAUAGGGAACUCAUCUCAUUCUCUCCAUCUCUUCAGAUGUUUUGUAUGGAAACGUGAUGUCUUAUUAACAAAAAAAGAAAAAAAGAAAAAAAGAUUAUUCUCGGAAACUAACAUAGGUUAUUUUGUUUUCUAACAUUAAGUUUAAUUUUAAGGAGUAAAAUUCAUUGUUCCUGUAAUCUUCUAUUUUUCUUUUUAUAAUUCUUAAUAAAGCUUCUCCCCUUUGCCGAAGUUGGACAAAAAAAAAAAACUCUGAUAGUCAAAUUAUUUGUGUAAAUACAAAUAUUUUACUAAUUAAGGGCAUGUGUCUUUAAUUAGAAAACUUAAAAGAUAAUUGGCUAUGCAUAUCAUUUAUUAAUUCUUCCAAAAAUAUCAUAAGCUAACAAUUCCGGAGAAUAUCUACCGUCUGCAAGUUGAUUUUUGUAGCUUUUCAAUUGUUAGGAUGGCCUAUGUUUUCCAACAACCGAAAACUAAAGCCAGCUUGCUACCAUUUCCUUUGUCGCACAAACUAAUCACAUGCUCAAUCGAAGGUGUGGGGAAAAAAUUUGCCUUCUUGGUGCUUGAAUUAAUGUACAUUUUUUUUUUCAAAAUGCAAACGUUGCCUAAGAUGGUAAUUAACAUGUAAGAUAGAUUGUUACAUUUUUCUUAAUCUUUGGUUUGAUAUUCUGGACGAAAACGGUUUGCCGUUUCUUGAGAAAACGGCUAAUCGUUUAAGUCCAGAGAGCAUGUUUUUGUUCUGGGAUAAAAUGGCUCACCAUUAUUGAGAAAACGGCUAACCGUUUAACUCCAGAGAGAAUGUUUUAUGUUCUAGAGAAAAAACAGCUCACCGUUAUUGAGAAAACGGCUAACCGUUUAUUUACAGAAAACAACGUAUUUGACAUUCUGGAAUAAAACAGCUCACCGUUUAUUGAGAAAACGGCUAAGCGUUUAUUUCCAGAAAUGCGUCAACUGGAAAACGGUUAAGCAAGUUUGAAAUUUAAUUGUCAAUCAAUGCAAAUUCAAACCAAAAGAGUGUCUUUGAAGAAGCACCAUUUCGAAUGGUUGUAUUCUUUUAAAUAAACAUCUUCUUCAUUAAAAGAAAGAUAUACAAUUAGAUUUAUAAUUAGUUUUUACAGAUUUCAUAUAAGUUCUGGAAAUACAAUCUUAUUUGCUAAAGAUUGUAUUCAGGAUUUGAUAUAUCUUGGGUGUAAUUUGCCAUUAAACUCUAUAGCAAAUCAAGAUUGGUGAGGGCAAAUAAAACCUUAAAGGAAAGUGUGCAAACACGUCUCAAAUCCUAAGAAAUUGUCUCUAUUCUUUGCCUCCAUAUUAUUAAAUUCACCAACAAUCUUUAAGGUUUUAUUUAAAUGGAGGCUGAGAAGAGUUUGACAUCUUUUCUGAAUCCUAGUGUUCAUCUCGAUCAUUUUGAUGGAACUAAUUUCACUCGUUGGAAGGGAAAAUUGUUCUUUCUCCUUACUGUUCUUAUAGUGGCAUAUGUUCUAGAUUCGAAAUUGGAACCAUUUCCAGAACCAAGAGAAGAUGAUACCGAAGUUGUUAAGGCUGCAAGGAAACGUCGUGAAGAUGAUGAAUUGAUGUGCCGGGGUCAAAUACUCAAUACACUUUCUGACAGGUUAUACGAUCUCUACAAUUCUAUGACUUCUCCGGUGGAAAUUUGGAAUGUUCUUGAGUACAAAUACAAAACGGAGAAAGAAGGUACUGACAAAUUCCUUGUAUCUAAAUAUUUUGAAUUUAUUAUGGUAGACACAAAAUCUAUUCUUGAUCAAAUACAUGAGUUACAAAUUAUUGUUGCUAAGCUUCGAGAGUUAAAAGUUGAAAUUUCUGAAUCAUUUCAAGUUGGGGCUAUUAUUGCUAAAUUGCCUCAAAGUUGGAAUGAUUAUAGAAAGAAACUCCUUCAUAGUAAAGAGAACAUAACUUUAGAAGAAUUGCAAAAACACUUGGUAAUUAAAGAAGAGACUAGGUCUCGCGAAUCCAAGGAUAAGCAUGAUUCUACUAAAGUUAAUGUUGUUGAAGCUAGUAAAUUCUCAAAGAAUUUUAAAGUCAAGAAUGACAAGAAAUUCAAGAAGUCCAGCACACAAAAGUUUUCUGGAAAUUGUUUCUUUUAUGGUAAGAAAGGCCAUCGCCAAAGUGAUUGCAAAUUCAAGAAGAAAAAUGAAGAAGUGAAUUCCCAUAAAGCUAAUGUUAUUGAAAACAAAUCUGAAGAGAUUUGUGCUAUGGUUUCUGAAAUGCAAAUUGGCAUGAUUACCGAAACCAAUAUGGCUGAAACUAAGUCCUAUGAUUGGUGGCUCGAUUCGGGUGCAACAAUUCAUGUUUGUAAUGAUAAGAAAUUUUUCUUAUCAUACAAAGAAGAAACGGAAUGACAAAUGGUUCUCAUGGGGAACAAUAAUGCAGCCAUAGUAGCAGGGAAAGAAGUAGUUGAGAUCAACUUCACUUCUGGAAAGAAAGUCACAUUGUAUAAUGUCUUUCAUGUACCUUCCGUUAGAAAGAAUCUUAUUUAUGCUAGUUGUAUGUGUAAGCAUGGGCUUAAGAUUGUGCUUGAGGGUAAUACUUGUAUUGUCUCAAAGAAUGGAUUAUUUGUUGGGAAAGGGUAUUCUUGUGAUGGAAUGUACAAACUCAGCAUAAAUAAUAAUAAUAUCAACUUAGCUUAUAUUGUUGAGUCUUGUGAUAUUUGGCAUGCUAGAUUAGCACAUUUGAACUUUAGAUCUUUGAAAUACAUGUCUAAGCAUGGUUUGAUUAAUUGCAAUGAUGUUAAAGGUCAUAAGUGUGAAAUCUGCAUCCAAGCUAAAUUAACUAAGAAACAUUUUCCUAAAGCUGAACGAAAUACUCAAAUAUUGGAUUUAAUACAUACCGAUAUUUGUGAGUAUAAUGGCAUGUUAACAAGAGGAGGUAAGAGGUACUUAAUCACUUUUAUUGAUGAUUGUUCUAGAUACACUUAUGUGUAUUUACUUAGAACAAAAAAUGAAGCUUUUGAUAAAUUUAAAAUUUUCAAAGCUGAAGUUGAGAACCAAAAAGAUAAGAAAAUCAAAAUGGUUCGUAGUGAUAGAGGUGGUGAAUAUUUCUCAAUUGAAUUUAAUAAUUAUUGUGAAGAAUUUGGAAUUAUUCACCAAAGAUCAGCUCCAUUUACUCAUCAACAAAAUGGUUUGGCUGAAAUGAAGAAUAGGAUUUUCACGGAUAUGAUAAAUUCCAUGAUCCUUAAUGCAAAACUACCAAAUAAUUUGUGGGGGGAAGCAUUACUCAUUGCAUGUCAUAUUCAUAACAGAAUUACAUCUUUGAAAACACAUAUAUCUCCUUAUGAAAUUUGGAAAGGAAGAAAACCAAACUUGAUGUAUUUAAGAGUCUGGGGUUGUUUAGCUUUUUAUAAAAUACAUGAUCCUAAGUCAUCAAAGUUGAGUGCUAGAGGUAUAAAAAGUGUUUUCGUAGGAUAUGCUGAAAAUUUCAAGGCUUAUAGGUUGUUAGAUUUAGAUUCUAAUGUGAUUGUGGAAUCUAGAGAUGUUGAGUUUAUUGAGAAUAAAUUUCAACUUGAUUCUAAUAUUGAAUUAGAAUCAAUUAUUGAUCAACCAUGUGUUAAUACUCUUGUUACCUCCACUAACAAUAAUAAAAGGAAAGAGUCUAUGACAUCUUUCGAACCAAAGAGGAGUCAACGUGAAAAGAAAGAAAAGAGUUUAGCUCCGGAUUUUAUUUCAUCACAAGCACUACUCUUCUUGGUUGAAGGGGAUAGAAAGAAUGUACUUAACAAAGUACCAUUGUUGUUAAAUAUUGAAAAAGAUCCAAAGACAUUUAGCGAAGCUAUGUCUUCAAGAGACGCUUCCUUUUGGAGAGAGGUGGUAAAUGAUUAAAUGGAUUCGAUUAUGUCGAAUCAAACAUGGGUCUUGGUUGAUCUUCCUCCAGGAUCUAAACCAAUUAGCAGCAAAUGGGUAUUUAGAAUAAAGUACAAUAGUGAUGGUUCUUUGCAAACUUUUAAGGCUAGAUUAGUAGCCAAAGGGUUUAAGCAAAGAAAUGGGAUGAUUAUUUCGAUACAUAUGCUCCGGUAGCAAGGUUAACUUCUAUAAGAGUGCUAUUUGCAAUUGCUUCAUUGAACAAUUUGUAUGUGCAUCAAAUAGAUGUUAAAACAGCUUUUCUUAAUGGUGAUCUUGAUGAAGAAAUCUAUAUGGAACAACCUGAGGGAUUUGUUUUGCCAGGAAAUGAGAAAAAGGUAUGCAAGUUAGUCAAAUCUCUUUAUGGUUUAAAGCAAGCACCAAAACAAUGGCAUGAGAAGUUUGAUUCGGUAAUUUUAUCUCAUGGUUUUAAGCAUAAUAAUGCUGAUAAAUGUAUAUAUUUUAAAUUUACGAAUGAUUUUGGUGUGAUUAUAUGCUUGUAUAUUGAUGACUUGCUUAUCUUUGGAACAAAUAUGCAAGGAGUAGAUGAUACAAAGAAGUAUUUAACUUCACAGUUUAAGAUGAAAGAUCUUGGUGAAGUAGAUAUUAUCUUAGGUGUCAAAGUGAAUAAACAUAGUGGGGGUUACUCGUUGUGUCAAUCUCAUUAUAUAGAGAAAGUGCUUCUUAAAUUCAAUUAUUUGAAAUUUAAAGAAGCUAAUACCCCAUAUGAUUCUAGUAUUAAAUUACUAGAGAAUUCAGGCCGAGUAGUAGCACAACUAGAAUAUGCUAGUGCUAUUGGUAGCUUGAUGUAUGCUAUGCAUUGUACGAGGCCUGAUAUAGCAUUUGCAGUUUGCAAAAUGUCAAGAUUCACGAGUAACCCUAGUGUUGAACACUGGAAAGCAAUUGGUAUGAUACUUGGUUAUCUUAAAAGGACCAUUAAUUUGGGUUUGUUUUAUAAUGAUUAUCCUGAAGUACUGGAAGGAUAUUCAGAUGCUAGUUGGGUAACCAAUACAAGAGUUAAUAAAUCCACUUCUGGUUGGAUUUUUACAAUUGCUGGAGGAGCGGUUUCUUGGGCUUCAAAGAAACAAACGUGCAUAACUCAUUCAACAAUGGAAAGUGGGUUUAUAGCACUUGCAGCUGCAGGCAAAGAAGCAGAAUGGCUGAGAAAUUUGUUGUUUGAUAUAAUGUUGUGGCCACAACCGAUGCCAUCUAUUUCUUUGUACUGCGACAGUGAAGCUACAUUGUCUAGAGCUUAUAAUAAAGUGUAUAAUGGAAAGUCUAGACAUAUUAGCUUGAGACAUGAAUAUGUGAAACAAUUAAUAGCAGAUGGUGUUAUUAAUAUUGUUUAUGUUAUGACUAAUAAGAACCUAGCAGAUCCUUUAACAAAAGGUCUUUCAAGAGACUUAGUUAAGGAUACAUCUUUUGGAAUGAGAUUGAAACCUUUGCAUAAUAAAGUCACCAACGACGGUAACCCAACUAUGUAGUAGUUGUACCGUUACUCCAUAGUUAAAUGGGUAAUAACAAGUUGUUAUGUGACUGGUUUGGCACCGAGUAAUAAAUAAUCUCAUUCGAGAGUUUCGAUGUAAAUAGCUACGAGGUUGAGGUUGAGUAUUUACUCUUAAUGAAGUUCAAGUCUUAUAGUAGCUAAAGACAUGAUUUGAAACUUCACCUAAGUGAACAUAAGAAAUGGUGUUGUUUCUAACAAGAUCAUGGUUUAAUCUUGUAAAUGUUCAUGAAUCCAAGAUAGAGCACAAGGCCGGAAUAGUGCUAACUAUUGGAACACAAUUUUGAAAUCUGGGAUAGCUUAUAUGUGAUGUAUCUCCGGUAUUUACUUAAGAGACAAAGUUUAAUGCUUAGCACACUAUUGUCUUGUAAAUACUUUGAAAUACACUCACUAAUUAAAGGUUAAAAUCGAAAGAUACCUUUUUGUAUGUAUAAGUUUAUCAUUAAUAAAUCUGAAAAAAAUAUUACAAUCUAGUGGGGAUUGUAAGAGAGAUUGUUACAUUUUUCUUAAUCUUUAGUUUGAUAUUCUGGACAAAAACGGUUUGCCGUUUCUUGAGAAAACGGCUAACCGUUUAAGUCCAGAGAGCAUGUUUUUGUUCUGGGAUAAAACGGCUCACCGUUAUUGAGAAAACGGCUAACCGUUUAACUCCAGAGAGAAUGUUUUAUGUUCUAGAGAAAAAUGGCUCACCGUUAUUGAGAAAAUGGCUAACCAUUUAUUUACAGAGAGCAACGUAUUUGACAUUCUGGAAUAAAAUGGCUCACCGUUUAUUGAGAAAACGGCUAACCGUUUAUUUCCAGAAAUGCGUCAACUGGAAAACGGUUAAGCAAGUUUGAAAUUUAAUUGUCAAUCAAUGCAAAUUCAAACCAAAAGAGUGUCUUUGAAGAAGUACCAUUUCGAAUGGUUGUAUUCUUUCAAAUAAACAUCUUCUUUAUUAAAAGAAAGAUAUACAAUUAGAUUUAUAAUUAGUUUUUACAGAUUUCAUAUAAGUUCUGGAAAUACAAUCUUAUUUGCUAAAGAUUGUAUUCAGGAUUUGAUAUAUCUUGGGGGUAAUUUGCCAUUAAAACUCUAUAGCAAAUCAAGAUUGGUGAGGGCAAAUAAAACCUUAAAGGAAAGUGUGCAAACACGUCUCAAAUCCUAAGAAAUUUUCUCUAUUCUUUGCCUCCAUAUUAUUAAAUUCACCAACAUAACAUGCAUCAUGUUUGCUAUCGUUAUUGAUUUUUCUUGUUUUCUUUAAUUAUUUUUCUAGAAUUUUAGGUCUCUACUCCUCAUCAAUUUAAUUUCGUAACAAUAAAAUUACCUUAUAUACUUGAAAUAGACUUUCCAAAUUUUAGAAAAACACGUUCAAAUUUCGAAUUCCUAAUAAUCUUUUUUGUGGGAUGCUAUGAGAUAUUCUCGUAGCUCACUAAUUUUGUAAGAGGCAUUAAGCGUGACAUGCCUAGAUAGUAGUUCAACAAUUAAGAAUUUGAGAACUUAAGUUUUAACUUAAUUUGAAUGGAAUUUGUUAUACUCUCAGGGAGUGUGUUUAAAUAUCAUCAUGAAGUGCGAGCACAAUUAGAUUGAUCUAGAGUUAGUUUUUAGUAGUUUCUAAAAAGUAAAAUUAAUAUUACUAUAAAUGACAUUGAUUAAUUGAUUGUCACUUCCUCGCUUCACUCUUUAGGGAAUUAGAGUAAAGAUUGGAGUCCUUUUGUGUGCAUAUUUAUAAAUAAAUUUGAUCUAUUUUAAAUCCAAAUAUCUUUUCUACACUAUUAUAAAACUAUCAUAUUAUUUAGAACAUCAAACUCAUAUUAAUUCAAGCUAACCAUAUAAAUGAUCCCAAGAAAUAUAUUUGCCAACCAAAUUGUAAGUAGGAUUCUAUUAAAAAGCUUUCAAAUUAAUUCUUAAAAAAAUGAAAAAGGUAGAAGGGUAAACAACAAUACUUUCAACAAGCUACCAUAUAUAUAUAUAUAUAUAUAUAUAUAUAUAUACACAUUAUUAAUUAAUUUUGAGAUCUUAAAGCACUUUCCCCGUACAACGACACAACGUGUUGUAAAAUCAAGCUAAAACAACACAACAAAAAACUUCGACCCUCAUUCAAUGAAAGUAUGAAACGCCAGUGCAAAUUUUGUCAUAUUUUUGGGGGCCACCGCCAAUUUGCAUCGUUUCCCCUGUUCUUUUGGAUGCUCGCUGGCAAACAAGUGGGUCGAAUUAAAAAACUAAUAUUAUUAUCAUUUCAUAUCUAAAAAUAAAUAUUAAAAAAAGCAUUAUUAUUUAACAACCCAUUAUUCCCUUUCGAUCAAAACUAUACAUAAAAUACUAAAUAUCAAGCAGCAACCAUUAAUAUAUUGAGAAUAUAAAUAAUUAAAAAGAAAAAAAACAGCACACUGGUUUCAGUUUUUAUAUAUCACAUAUGCACAGCAAGAUUGACACUUCUAUCCUAUUUUACCUAACAGGGUUAAAGAUCCACAUGGCUUUACCAAUGAGUGAAAGCGAAACAAGGACAAUUAAUCAAAUAAUAAUUAACUUCUCUUUUAUUUGGACUCUUUGGUCAAAGCAAUGAUGUAAGCUUCGCUCUAUAUACUAAGCUUAUAACCUAAGCUGUCCAGCAAAUUAAACAUACACUUCAAUCACAAGGUUUCUUGUUUUUGUAGUAGUUUCAUGGCAGUUUGAGUUUCUAUCUCUUCUUCCAAACCCUAGCUUAUAUAAUCAAACACUCGCAGUCUCUCUCUCUCUCUCUCUCUCUCUGGCUAGCUAGCUUAGCAACAACAUGGCUGCAGGCUUGGGAGCCAAGAGCAACAACAAUACUGACCCUCAAAACCAAAAAACUCUUGCGGAUUUUGAUCCCCAAAAGAAACCAAAAAGAAAUCUGUAUGCCUCCGGCGCUGCCAUUUUGGCUUCCAUGACUUCAAUCUUACUAGGUUAUGGUAAGUUAACUUUACAAGAACCCUUUCUUGUAUCUAUUAGUUUGCUUUAUAUCGUGAUUCACGAAACAUGCAUCAUGGAGAUGGAAGUAAUAAGGUUUCUUUGUGAAGAAAAUCUUCUCAGAAAGUGGAUAAGUUUUGUGUGGGUGUUAGUCGGUUUAACAGGAAAAAAAACUGUUUAAAUUAGUAUAAGAAAUUAAGAGUUCGAAUAUCUCUGUCAUAAGAUUUUAUUUCAUGCAUGCGUAAUUGGUUCUGCAUGCAUUAAUUAAUUAAUAUUAUAUUUUUUUUUGGUGUUCUUUUCUUGUAGACAUUGGAGUAAUGAGUGGAGCUGCACUCUACAUCAAAGACGACUUUAAAGUCAGUGACACAAAAAUCGAGAUCUUAAUUGGAAUCUUGAAUAUUUACUCACUCUUCGGCUCACUGGCCGCCGGCGUAACCUCCGACUGGAUUGGCCGCCGGUACACUAUCGUGUUAGCCGGGGCCAUCUUCUUCGCCGGAGCGCUGCUCAUGGGGUUUGCCACAAACUAUGCUUUCCUCAUGGGGGGUCGCUUCGUCGCCGGCGUCGGCGUCGGAUACGCUGCAUUGAUCGCUCCCGUAUACACAGCUGAACUCUCUCCGGCUUCCACUCGAGGCUUUCUCACCUCAUUUCCUGAGGUUUGUGCUUCUUCUUCUUGUUUUUGGAAAUAGCUUUCUUGUUUCUUAAAACAGAAACAAUUUUGAACGGAUGAUACUUUUACUUUCCAAAGUUUUGAAAUACAACCUUCAAACACUCGAAUGAGUAACGGUAUAAAUGCGUUUCUCUCUUUUUGUAUUUUAAGAUUUUAUCCUCUAAAUCCGUGACGUAUUAAUUAAACAAAGUAAUCUCUAAUCUCCUCACUAGUGUUAGGACCUAUCUUAAAAACCAAGCUAAUAUUUGAUACUUAACUAAAAUAUAAUAAACUAUAAGGGAUUAAUUGAUAUUAUCCUCUUUUCAACGUUUCAGGUUUUCAUUAACGGCGGGAUAUUACUUGGCUACGUCUCGAACUACGGAUUCUCCAAACUACCCCUCCACUUAGGCUGGCGCAUGAUGCUCGGAAUCGGCGCCAUUCCGUCGGUGCUUCCCGCCGUCGGCGCGUUAGCCAUGCCAGAAUCUCCGCGCUGGCUGGUGAUGCAAGGCCGACUCGCCGAUGCAAAGAAAGUUCUCGACAAAACCUCGGACUCGAAAGAGGAGUCUAUGCUCAGACUCGCCGAUAUCAAAGAAGCAGCCGGCAUUCCUGAAGACUGCAACGACGACGUCGUUCAAGUACCGAAAAUCAACCGUGGCGAAGGCGUAUGGAAAGAGCUGCUGGUCCGUCCUACACCGGCUGUUCGUCACAUCAUAGUCGCAGCCGUUGGUAUUCAUUUCUUCCAACAAGCAUCCGGCAUAGACUCUGUCGUUCUGUACAGUCCUAGAAUCUUUGAAAAAGCUGGGAUUACGUCAAAAAACGAGAAGUUACUCGCUACUGUAGCCGUUGGAUUUGUCAAGACCACUUUCAUCCUAGUGGCUACGUUUUUACUCGACAAAAUCGGACGGCGUCCGUUGCUUUUGAGCAGUGUUGCAGGCAUGAUCGCCUCGCUCGCGACCCUUGCUAUCUCUCUCACAGUCAUCGAUCAGUCACACAAAAAGGUGAUCUGGGCCGUCGGUUUGGCCAUCUCAACGGUUUUAUCCUACGUGGCGUUUUUCUCAAUCGGGAUGGGGCCCAUCACGUUGGUUUACAGUUCAGAGAUUCUGCCGUUGAAGCUACGCGCUCAGGGAGCGAGUAUCGGGAUCAUGGUGAACAGGGUAACAAGUGGGGUCGUAUCGAUGACUUUCCUAUCGCUUAGUAAAGCGAUCACGAUUGGCGGCUCCUUCUUUCUAUACGCGUCAAUUGCAUCAGUUGCGUGGGUGUUUUUCUACACGUGUCUCCCCGAAACGCAGGGUAAAACCCUUGAAGAGAUGGGGGCGCUCUUUGGUAAUUUCCGUUGGCUGAGGGAUUCCAAGAGAGAGAAGAGGAGGAACAAAGCCAACGAGAUUAACGGUGACAGUGCGAGUAACGUUCAGUUAGGGCCGGUUUCUAACGGUAACUGAAGGGUAUUUUAGUAAAUACGAUGCUUUUUAAAAUCUUGGUGUAGCUUUGUAAAAUGAAUACUGUGUCGUGGUGUGUGUGUGCUGAUCACUAAUGGGCGAUUGAAGAAGUCAUUAUGCAAUGAAAAUGAAGCACUAUGAAUCAAAUAGAUAUAAUACUUCUUAUAAUUCCUAUCUCUUUAAAAUUUGCGUGAAUGGUUAAAAUUUUGGUUCGCAUUGCAAUGAUGAUUCUAAUGCCUCAAUUGUCAUUCUGGAAUUGAGCAAAAAUGUUAUGCCUAAAACCUUUUGUAAUCGUAUUUAAUUCGAUAGACAUAUUCAAGUUUAUUUAUUUGAUUCGAUUGACAUAAUGUGACUAAAUUUCUAUGUAAGUAGUAACCAAAGAACGUAAUUGUACUUCAAUAACUCUUGUUAUAAUGAUUAAUGAAUUAGUGGAAAUGGAAAAAUAAAUUAUGAGGAAGUGGGAAAGCUCCAAUUAUUGAGGAGAUAGAUAUAUAUGUUGUGAUCAACAAAGUGUCUUUGUGCAUGCAUUUGGGGCUGAAAUUGCCAUGCGCUUGGACACUUCAUUGUUGGUGGUGAAUGGUGAUGGUUAUUUUUCUUUUUUGUUUUGUUUGGAAAUUUUUUCUUAUUUUUUUAAAGAAAUUAUUAUAAUUUUUGCUUGGCUAUGCCCUUUCUUACCUAUAAAUUUUCGUCUUUUUAUAAUAAAAGAGAUUAGUUUAUGUGGUUUAUGUUAUGUGGCUUUUAGAAUAAGUGGUCCAUUCGUGCAUAUGUCGACGGUCGAUUGAAUUGACUACUUAUGAAGUUUAUUUGAAGUAGAAACAAAGAGACCUCGCAAUUUUUAUGCAUGUUGCCUUUUCCUAGUUUAGUUUGUAAAUUCGGGAAUCAUGAUAUAUUGAUAUGGUUAUAAUAAAAUUUCGGACAUGGGCUUUUUACCAAACUAUCAGCUAAAGAAGGAAUGGUCCCCUCCAAAAAAGGCGUAAUUAUUAAUUUAAUUUUUUUCUUGGUGUGUGAAUUGUGAAAUGCGUGAUCAAAACAAGCUGACACUGUAAAUUAAGUAACCUUCUUUGGUUUUUUAGGUAAGACAAUAGUUUUAACUUUGAAGGUUUUCAAUUCCUUGGAAAUUUGUCUUAAUAAAACUUACCCAUAUAAGUUGUGCAUUUUGAAGCGACAUAACAGAAAAAGAUUUCAGUACAUAAUAAGGUCUACAAAGUAACAAGAUUUUCAUUUUUUUUUUUAAAUAAAACAAAUGUACAUGGAACCAUACGACCCUAAUUACCAAAACCAAGAGAUGAAAAUGCAAGAUAUGAGCGCCCGUAAGCGAUCAAAUAAUGAGGCAUUUGAUGUGGUGUUUUCAAUACAUGGAUCAGCGCAUAAUCGGUCUGUGCUGGGAAUUUCAAUCUCAUUCUGACAGAGCACCUGCUUGAUAUCUUGGGAGAUCACGUUUCAGGGACACAUCAUCCUAAUUAUUAUAUACCGUCCAUGCAUUAAUGUUAAUACGCCCAUUGAUGAAUGGUUUUGCAGCUUGAGUAAGACGUUGCAGCUCGAGUAAGACGGUGGCAAUUGGCAAAUCCUACACGUUUUUUUUUUACCCUAUUAUCAUUUAUCACUAGGACGAACACCGACAUCAGACUGGCCUCUUGUCCUAUAAAGGAAAACACUACACUGGAGUAUCUCUAACCAAUACAACGAAAAGGUUCGAUAAAAAAUGUCAUGUCAGUUGUAUCUGUAUGACCAAAUUCACACCUUCUUUCACCUGCUGAUGCAGUAAGCUGUAGAAGUGUGAUUGAUCAAUCGACACUAAAAAUUAUAUCUAUACAAGCCUCACGAUGAAGCCACCAACUAGGUUAAAGCCAACUCAAUUAAGUUAUGCCUAAUAUACAAUCAUUUCCUCAACAUCGAUUUUGUAGCAGGUCUACAAUCUUUUCUGCUGAAAAAAAUACAGUAGAAAUCCUCUGAAAAUUGCAUCUACAUCACAAUAAUUAGCAAAAUAUAAAGCAAUCAUGUACAUUAGCAUAAGAGCUUUGAAAUUUUGUUUCACUUCUCAAUGCCCUGUUGCAGAUACUGAAUCAAGUCAUAGCCAGCAGUAGUCCACUUGUUGUAAGCAUCUGUGCACACAUUCCUCAUGAAAAUUGCAGCCUCACGAUCACUCAUCUCAGGAUGAAACCUCUUGCGAAGAUUUCCAAUAGGAUCACCCCUGCUAAAGCAAGGUAACCCGCUGUCUAGCAUUAACAACACAGUGUUGAUGAUCCCAUCCAUAUAACGGCGAGCAGCUAGAUAACCCUUGAUGCACAAGCUAUUAAUGACACAAAGUAAUGCAGUCAACUUUCAGCUAAAAGUUCAUUCACAAGCGCGCGCGCACACAAAUAAAAUUAAGAAUAAAAGAAUAAAGCUUCAAAAAGAAAUACUUGUACUACCUAACGAAUUGAUUCCAAGUAUCACUCUUCAUCACCCCGGAUGGAUCCAGUAAUUGAGUCAUUUCAUGGCUCAGCUUGAAGUGUGCACUCUCAAAACGCAUGUUUCUACCAGGUGAUGUCUCCAAAAUGAAACCAAAAUCAAUAUGGACCAGCCUCCCGAUGCUACAAUGACAUUAUAACAUGGUUAAAGGUAUGUUUCAGUAUCUUCAUAACAAAUACCAGAAAACUAUAUAAUUUUUCAGAUAUAUCUAUUGAUGGACAACGAAGUAAAGCAAUUGUAAAUAACAGCGACAGUCAUCAGAAUUCACAAAUCUAACUUGAUAAAUUGCGUGGGUGAGAGAGAGAGAGAGAGAUGAUGCCUCAUACUUAUCAAAAAGAAGAUUUCCAUUGUGCCUAUCCUUUGGUUGGAGUAAUAAGCUUGCAACUGCAUAACCAGCGCUGCUAAUGAUAAAAUUCUCUCGUGCAGCUUCAAAACUAGUAGAACCAACAGGUCCAAAGUCCUGUUGGAAAAUCUCAUACAAACCACCAUCAGUUAUUUCGCCCAUUUGACUUCUACUCCGUGUAUUAGGCACAACCUGCAAGAUAAGAAAGCUAGUUAGGAGAAGAAACCUGCGCAUUGUAUACAGAAAGCCUUUUCAAGUUAGAGCCCUUCAUACAUUUGAAUUUCAAAUGUCAAGUGUAAAUUCAGCUAUAAAGACUUCAUUUCCUACCUAAUAAAAAAAAUUUGCAUUGCUUUGGGAAAAAAAAUUAAUUAAUAUCUUAUCCAAGUUAUAUGGUAAAACUAUGAUGUAUAUAUGUUUGGACAGGCUUAAUGACACCCAAAAGCCCAGGUAAAUCGUACAAGAUGGCAGCCAGGCUGUAUCUAAUCAGAAAUAAUGUCUUUUAGAAAUUUGGAACAAUCAACAAAGUGGGCCCUGAUCUGUAUCAAAGCACAUCAUACAAAAUCUUGUAAAAUCCAAAAUACUCCUCAGACUAGAGCACAGAAAUCCCAAACAGAAACUGACAAGAUAUUCCAAUGUCCAUAACUUAUCUAGUAAUUAUUAAUGAGAAAUGUUAAAGUGGUACAAUUACUAAAACAAAAGUGUUGGUUGGUGUGUGGGGGGGUGGCAGGGCAGAUACUUAAGCAUACUUUUCUAUUAAACAAACUCACCUCAAUUAUACCUCUCUCUGGACCAGUUGGGAGAACACCAUAUGGAAACAGAUAGAGAUUAAGUCCGACUGCUUCAAAUAUGUCUCUAAGAAGGGAAAUCACUUGAAGAGCAAGAACAUCUUGUCGACAAUCAUCUCCAACCUUGAAUAAAGAAAAUGUAGUUAAGAUAAAGAUCAAAAAACAGGAAUAUCUAUGAAGUUUGCAAUAUGAUAAAAAUUAAUAUUAAGUCAACAAUCUAAAAAAAGAUCAGGUAGAUGAAACGAAGAAGCAUGUCUUUUGACUUUUGGUUUCUACUUGAAAACACUUAUAUGCCAUAAAUACUGAACAAAAUAGAUAUCACAUAAUUCACAGUUAACCGACAUGUGUGGCUUGGUGAUCUUUCAUUUGCAGGUUCUCAUAUAAGACAUGAAUGUUACAUAAGACAAAAAACUAAUUUUGCUCUAACCCACAAUGAUAUAUAGACAAUGAUAUAUACACACCUUGAAAAUGCAAGCUUGGGGCAUCACAUUGCUUUGAUCACCAUCCCGGUCCACCACAUUAAAUGUGAUCAUAAUAGGAACUUUGGCUGCUGACUGUAAAGGUAUUCCACUAUCCACCCGGAUGCCCCUUACAAGCUUGUUAGGGGCAGUUGGUAGAUAAAGGUCUUCUCCCGCCAUUUCAAUUUUUUCCAACUCCCUGUUAUAGCAAGCAGGUCAACACCAAUUAAAGCUUGCAUUGAGCUACCACUUGACCUAAAAGCUUAACCUUGAAAUAAAGGGCCCAAACAAUAGUAUUUAAGCUUGCUGUAUCAUUCCCCCUCAUAUGCAAGGCUCAUUUGGCCAUGUCGUAUGAAUCCAACAGACCAACACAGGCAGCCCAUUCCACUCUGGGGGAAUUCAAUUUGUGUUCAGGGGGUUUUGAACACAGCAUUAAGGUCAAAUAUGCUCUGAGACAAUGCUGAGUAGAAACCACUUGACCUAAAAGCUUAAGCUUGAAGGUAAGGGCCCAAACAAUAGCAUUUAAUAUUGCUUUAACAGCUUGAACAAGUAAUAAGUAUACCUCCGGAUACCAGCUCGACGUUCUUCCUUGGGAAGCGGAUACAGUGCACCAGAAAUAUUAGUAACUUUGUCAAAGAAGUCAAACUCUCUUUGAAACAAAUCAAGGGCCUUGGGAUUGAAACCAUCAAUAAUACGCUGCCGAACCAUGGGCAACAAUGUUUGAAACGAACCAUUCUGAAAAAACAGCAAGUAGGAAGAGAUAUUGAGCAUGAAUGACAUAUUACAGAAAGGCUUUGAAAAUCCAAUAGAAAUAUUAAGAACGUUUCCACAAAUUUUGCAAGUUAUAGAUGCAAUAGGUGUGGUACAAAACACCACACCUAUUUAUCAAUAUCAUAUAUAAACAUAGAUGUGUGUGAUUUUUUAUUCAGCACUGUGCCCAUAUUAGUCAUAUGCAUCAAAACAUUUUUAACAGUAAAAUUUAUCAAUAAUUUACAAACUCCUCUUAGAACUCACAGUAUUCUAAACAACAAAAUUUACAACACACCUAACCUCUUACCCUCACAAAUGAUAAUUUCUUCAACACAGCUAACAGGAUUAUUCUAAAAUUCAUAGCAUUACCAAACUGGCCCUUACUGAAUUUUGAAUUUAUAGUUAGAUCAUGUGACUCAUCAAAAUAAGAUGUGGAGAAUUUAGCUCCCAUCUAAAAUUAUAAGGGAUUAUAUCUUUCAAAUUUUUAGAGAUUUUAGCCAUAUAUUUCUAAAUACUUUCAAUUUUCUUGGGAAAAUCUGUACAAAAAAUGAUAUAACGAACAUAUUUCUCACAACAAAAGAAAACAAAUCCAUACACAACUUAAUGAAGGAUUUGAAAACUAUAACAUAGAUUAAGAUAUUUCAAUAAGUGGUUUCCAUGGCGUCAUAAUAGAUGUUCUCAUUGUUCAUACGCCAAGGAGUUCUUUUGAUCAUUCAUAAGUCACUUCGAUCGAGACUUAUGCAAAGGUUCAUAUCAUUCACGGACCAAUGGAUUCUUGCUUGAUAUAAAGAGAAGAUGAAUGUACCUUCACAGAGUUAGCAUCUUUCUCUUUCCCAGAUUCUGGUACAAAUGUCUCACCCUGCCAUCCACAAACUCGUGUGUUACAUAUUCUAAUAGAGAAACAGAAAAUAUAAUUUACAUGAAAAGCACAUUCCAUCAAAAUUAACCAAAAGCAUAAUAACUGCAGGCCUUCUAGUCCUAUUAAUAAAUAAAUAUUCUCACACCUGUAGAUGCCAUAUCAGUAUAUGCGCAAAUAUAUCACUUCUUUGAGUUGCUCUAAGCAAAUACCCUUCUACCAAUCUCUGAAAGUUAUGAAGUGGAAAAUAGAUAGAUCAAUAAAUCAUAAUAUAUGCUAAUAGAUAAAGACAGUAGUCAUACAUAUUAUUUGGUCUAAUUUUAGAAUGUCUGUCAAGCCAACCGCAACCAUACCCACUAAAUCAUAGUAUAUGCUCAUAGAUAAUGACAGUAAUCUCGUCUCCAAAAUGUUAUAUAGCAAAUCCAAGAAUUUGCAACUCUUAUGCUGUUGCUAUAAAAAAUUACAAUAGAAAAGUUGAGAAAAUAUCGAAGACCUUACCAAUUAAAUACCCAACUUACUCUAAUCUAUAUCUCCAAAAUGUUAUUAGAGAGAAUUUAAGGAUUUACAACUCUCAUGUUGUUAGAAAAUGUUAUUAUAGAUGAGUUGAGAGAAGAUAGAAGAGUUUGGAAUUUGGAAGUUUUAGGGAGUGUAGUCUAGCACGUCCCUUAUUGGGUAUCAAAGUUUCCUAUUUGCUUAUCCGAACCAUUUAAAUGAUUUUGAGGGCGAGUCUUUUGUUGGGACUUGAAUGAAGAAGAGAUGAACACUAGAGAAAUAAUUCAAAAACCCUCUUUUAUGUGUACAACUCAUUCAUAGAGUGUGAUUGGUUAGAAAAGUAUAGAAACUUCCAAUCACCUCUUUCUUCUAGUGAAUGGUUUCAAGAUUGUGGAAGAGAUAAGUAAAGAGUACUGUUGUGACUCCCUACUACGAAAAUCAUUGGCAUUUGGAAGGGAGAAAAGCUAAAUCUUCCCGAAUGUGCAGUUUAUGCCCUAAUAUGGUGGUAUGAAAUGAAAUAAACAAAUGGAUUUUCAAGUUACAAAAAGAGACAGGAAUUCUGAAAAAUUAACAUCUUGCUCCAGAUAGGACUUCAGAGUUCCAAGGAGUAUUAAGAUUGAUUGUUUAUCUUCAUUUAUCCCAAUUGAGAGGGGAUUUUGGGUUCUAGCUAUUUGGGUUGUUCAGCUUUAACAGUGGUGGAUGGGUAUUUUUGCUGACCAUCCCAGCAUUUCUUUUGACUUUCUUUAUAUAGCUUUAGCUUCCCCAAUAUAGGGUAUUUUUUGUCAUUUGAUGGCCAUCUGGUCCACACCCUACAUAAUAACUGAAUCUUUCAUUAUUACUCCAAAUUUCAGUGCUUCCAAUCAUCAAAAAUAAAUAAAUAAAUAAUGAUUUACACUGGAAUGAGCAUUAUCAGUCCUUUAGAUAAAAACUUAUGAAUGUAAUUCAAUGUCACAGAAGUGGAAUCAUGCCAUUAAAUAAAGAUAGAUCAAGCUCAGAUUGGUCCAAGUUGCUUAACCUCUUGGCACAAUCCAAGGGAAAAUUAACAGUGGAUCAGGAAAUUUCAAAAGCCCAGAUAAUGCAGUAAGGUCUCAAUCAAUUUUCCAGACUCAACACCCCUGCGAUAAUGCACAAAAUAUAGAUAGUAACACACACAUAGAUCAACAUUUUCAUUACAUUACUCACCUCAUCAUCGUAUCGAAGAGCCUGAACUAGCUGUGGCAUGAAGAAAGUAACUCGUUCAGGAGGAUAAGACUCCAAGACCCUAAGUAUAUAGGCCAUGACACGUGGAUGACCCUUAUAUGCUGGAGUAAGGAACUCAAGGGCUUGUGUGAUUGAACAAGCUGCCCAGUGUGGCAAUUGUUGCAGAAGAGCUGAAUCUUCAUCAACAGCCUUAGGAGUGACAAAAUACGGCAAUGCUUCAGGUAUACAGCGGAUGUCCAAUAUAUGCAACUGCAAGAACCACCAGGGAAGAUCAAGAGAAAUCAUAAAAUAAACAUGAUUAAACAUCACAUAUAAGCAAUGAACUUUUGGGAUAUGUCUUUUCCAUUUCACACAAUUAGAAAAUGAUGUCUCAAACUAGGAAUCAUAUUGAGAAGCUGAAUUCAUCUUAUCGUAAUUUAAGGCAUGGGUUUCUUUAUCACUUCCAAGUUCUGAACAAAAUAGGUAUCCUAGAAAUGGAUGUUCAACAUUUAGCAUCAGAUAGAUAAACAUUACUGCAAAUCCUUAUUUUACAACACCCAUGUAUUGUUUUGCAUAAAAGGAUACUGCUACCACCAUCAUCCCCACUCCAACCUACCCACCCCAAACUCAAACCACCACAGACAAACAAACACACCGGGUGCAUGCGUAUCAAAUGGGAGAAAAAAAAUACUAUGCCAAUGAUGCCCCAUGCAAUGAAUCAUUCGCUCACUGUUCAAAAAUAGAAUUGUACCCUGAAAAAUGAAGAAACAGGAUGAGGAAAGAAAAUGUUGUGAAUCAUCCAAUAUUUCAGAACAGAAUAAACCCAGAAAAGAAUCUUGGUCAUAAUAGACGCUCAACUAAAUUUAACUUCAUAUUCAAAUCCCUCUUGACAAUCCUUCAAACACAAAACUCAGGGUGAAUCAAUACAUGAAACUCUAAAUAAUUCCACUCUAGCAUGGCUCAAAGGUUCCCACAAUAAUUUUUCAAAGUAUGUUUCUCAAGUUUAUUCACACCUUUCUUUCUAAAAUCAUCAUGCAAAUAAUAACCACGAUGAGCAAAUUUAAACUUAGGUAAUAUCAUCUAGUGACUAAAUAAUUCCUAGUCAACAUAACAAACUUGCCUGAACCAGCUGAGUUACUUCAGCCUUCAAAGAAGCAUUUGCUGGGAACCUUGAUGCCAAGGAUAGAGCAAUCCUAGGAUCCACUUGAAAGGCGGUCCGAGCAUAUUCAACAAGCUUCUCUGAGCUAAUUCUCGGCCGCGAAGAUACACUUUCCCUGGAGAUGAACGGGAAUAUGAAAACCAUACAAUUAACAUCCACACAUGGGAUUCUGGUAAAGCAUACAGAGACAAAAAUAGAUAAAUAAAAAAAGACCUAAAUAUUCAUCAUGCUUAAUAAAUUCAGAGAAUGAUACUUUGAGAUAAUGGGAUGUGCCCAAACGUCAAGCCUAUCAGCCUCAUGCUGACAUAGCAUCAGAAGAAGCUGCUUCCGUUUCUCUCUUCCCACGUCAUAAUUUUCAAUCUGGCCCCAGAUAGGAUGAAACUGAUCAUUCUGCAAAAUAUCUAAGAAAAUUUAGUAACAAGUGUGGUAUCCAACUCAGAGUUACCAUGACAACAGAAUUUACAUAAAGAAUAAUAUUACAACAAACGGACAGAUGUUUACUUAAGUUCAAAAAAUCAUGAAACAACUGGCUACUGUGGACUCCAUGUAUUGCAAUUAUAAACAUCUUACCACGUCAACCAAAGCACUACCAUUCUCAUGUCCCCGCCCUUUUGCAUCAUGUUGAAAAGCAUCCGCUCGCUCAUUCAAAAGAUAGUGAAGAAAUAAAGAAAGGGACUGAGCCUCACUCUGGGCAAAGUUCACACAAUUAAUGUCAUACCACUCAGGCUCAUAAGCAAACCAGCCCAGUGAGGCCCUGUAAAAUGCAUCAAAGUAAAUAACAAUUCCUAUAAACAAAACUAUACUAAUAUAAUUUAAUUUGAGUAGAAACAACAAAAGUGCAUUUUCUUGUGCAAUGCUCAGAUAGCACAAGGGUGCAUACAUUGUAUUUAAGGACUCUUAGUUGUGGCAAACAAACGUAAGCCUUGAAUGCUACAUGCACAGGGAAAGCAAACAAAAUACUUAGAAAUUUUGUAUAUACCCCUAAUUACAGUGUAUUUUGUGGCAUGUUCGUAUCCAGUUAUCUAAAAUUGACCAAAUGCACAUAAAUCAUGCAAUCAAGUCAUGCUAGGCCCAAAGACUCGUGAGAAAGAGAUUGAAAUAAUUAUUAGAAAUUUUUUACAUGGUUAAAAGUUUCAGCAGAUUUAAAGCAUAGACCAAGCAGCACAAUUUGGCAAACCUACUUGAAAAACCCAUUCAAGACAUUUUCGAGUUCCAUAACAGGAACAUUAAAUUGAACAAUAGAUAAGCUAUGUGCUGUUACUUGAAAGGAUAAGGUAGAGAAAUGCAUGGUUACAUAUAUGAUGAUCCCAUUUGAUAAAGAAAAAAACAUAAAGAGUUUAAAACACCAAAACAAAAAACAAAAAGUUGAGCAUUCCUAAAACAUGCAGGGAUGGUAUCAUAAUGAGAGCUAGAGAUGACAACUUUUCCUGCUGGGAUGGGUUCCCGUAGGAUCUCAUCCCGUUUGGGACAAGAUUAGGACAUAUUUUUGUCCCAAAAAAAAAUAAAAAUAAAGGGACGGAAAUGGGACAUUUUUUAUCCCACUUGCAUAAAUGGGACAGGACUGGGAUUGGCAAAUCCCGUCCCGUCCCAUCCCAUUGCCAACCCUGUUGGUUUGGUUUAUUAUUAUAUUAUUGAAUUAUUGGAUAUUUUAACAUAGCUGAAGUUGAUUACUAUCCAAAUCUAUAGUUUUUGAAGCGUAAGUCUUAAUAUUAAUGCAUGUGCAAUGGAAGCACAUAGGCGAUUAAAAAAUGUUAGCAUAAAAUUAUUUUCAAACAUGCAUAUAGUCAAAAUAAAACUAUUAUUUGAUUAUUUUACUUUGUAUUUAUUGAAGAUUUUUGCUAUAUUGAAUUACGAUGACCUUAAAAGAAAAAAAAAAUCAGAAUUUAUUUAUUUACAUUUGGGACUGUUCAGGAUAAUGGGAUGGAAUGGGACGGGACUAGGACAUAUUUUUUGUCCCAAAAAAAAAUAAAGGAACGGAAAUGAGAUUUUUUUAUCCCAUUUGCAUAUACAGGACAGGACUGGGAUUGGCAAAUCCCGUCACAUCUCGUCUCAUUGCCAACCCUAAUGAGAGCCAAUCAAGCAUCACAAAAAAUGCAAAAGUAAAAAGAUAGAAAGUUAAAGUAAAAAGGAAAUUGCGGCAACCUGUAAAUGCGAUCUUCCAGAAGUUGAAGUCCUGAUUUGAAAUUCUGCAAAUAUCCCUGGGACUGGCAAGAGCAGAACUUCAGGCCAAGAAGCAUGAGAGUGAAGAAAGUGCCAGCGGCUGCAGGAUGGCGUGAAAAUUUCCAUGGGAAAUUUGUGGUUCCUUGUAACAUCCGACCAAGGAGCAAGAGUUGCUCAACACUAUUGUGUCGAACUACCUGUGAAGCCAAACCAGAUAGAGAAACAGGGAUCAUAAGAGUAUGAUAGAAUAAAGAAUUACCAGGUACACUAUGAAGAGUAUGUUUGCUAGAAAGAAAGGAACACUGCAAGAAAUAUAGCACAAGUGAUUUUCUUGAAAAUAUAGACAUGAUACAAGAGAACAUUUGAAACAGACUACCGGUGACUUAAACACUGUUUUAGGGAUAGUAUAUACAGCAGCUCCAUAGCCAGAGGGAAAAACCUAAGUGCAGAAUACUUAUUAAUGAUAUCAUAUAUUAAGAUUGAACAAGGUGUGACUGAUUAAUCUAGUUAUCAUGUACUGAUCAAUAUAUGAACACAGAUACGAAAAAGGGGUUGAGAAUCAUUUAGCUUUCCACUGAGAUUCUGGGCUCAUAUACAUUUAAAAGCCUAGGACAACCAAAAACACAACAAGGAUGUGUUCACAAACCUUCAACUACAUAUGACAUCCCAAAAAAAGAGGCAAGGGCGGGGAAGAGGUGGCGAAGAGGAUGAAACAAUGGACAUGAAAUACAGUGAGAGAGUGAGCGGACAACCAAAAACAAAACAUAAACCUUCCACUGAUUGAAGUAUGAGCUACUGCCUACCAUAUAUAGAUGACAUCCCCAAAAAAACAAAAAAAAAUAAUAAUGAACAUGAAAUAGAAAGAGAGCAAGAGAGAAAGUAAUAUUUAGUUCAAUGAUUCCUAACCUCAAAGCGAUCAAUAAAAAACCCAAGCCAUAGUCUAUGGGCAAUUAUUUGUUGAACAGGAUCAAUUUCAGGCUGUGGUUCUGGUUCCCCAGGUGCAAGAUGUGGCCGCAAUUUUGCAGCAGGUCCAGAGUAUCUCACAUCAGUUGCAAAGAGACCUCGUUUUGUAUCAAUUGUCCAUAACCAUGCAUCAACAAGCUCAGCGAGGACAAGGGACCCCAGUUGGGGUGCAGCUGAUACUAACCAUGUCCAAAUGAAAACGCCAGUUUCCAUUGCAUCAGGGGUGGAAAUAUAAGCUGGACACCAACACAGCAGCCGUAGAAGCUGUGAGAAGCCCUCUACAUUUGAUUUUGAAUUGGAAUCCUGGCACAGAAAAGAAAAAAAAAAUACAUGUACACGCACAUAUAUCAGAAUAAAGCAUUGCCUGAGUGAAUAGUUUUCAAUACCAAGAAUAUGGAGAAAUGAAGAUGAAAAAUAUAUUGUUACCAGAUUAGAAAGAAGCAAGGCUGUUGCCUGAGAACAAGUUUCACGAAACUGUCCCUUAUCCACUUCCCCACCCUUUUCUGCAACAUUAACAAAUUGCUGAAGAAGGUGAACAAAUUUGGAAAGCAACAUCUCAUUGAAUGAAUCAUCCUCUGUCUGUGGCUGUUGGGAAAAUGCUCCAGAUAUCAGCCUCUGAAAGCCACCGCCAAACCCAAAACUACCUGUUGGCAUGGUGCCAGAUUGAAAUCCACCAAUGCUGUUAUACAACCUUCUCAUGCCAGCAAUUUCUCCAGCAUGGUUGCACUUAACUGUUGCACUGACAAUACCAGUGCUGAGCACCUCCAAGGCCUCUGCUGGUUUUAAGGUUGCUCCAGAAGCCGCAGCUGCCGCAGCUGUGACUGCAGGAAUGUUUGCUGUUCGUAUACCAGGCCAGCAAUCAUUUUUACACGUACCAAUUCGUAUUUCAGAUAAAAGAGAAACCAUAUCAGUCGUAGGCUGCGCUCUCUGCCAAUUAUUUGCUUUACAAAGCUUAUCCUGAAGUAUAAAUUUGGAACCAUAAAAAUCGAGAUAGAAAUACAUAAACUAAACCAAAGAACAAAUACAGCAUCACCAAUGAUGAUAAAUUUUGGGACCAUGAAAAGGGGAAUAAUGAUGAUACAGAAGAUGUAUAAAGUUAGCUGACCAAAGAUCAUUCAAAGAAUUCCGUGUAAAUAUUCCCGCAUAGUAUAAAGUCAGAUAAUCAAAGAUCAUUCAAAGAGUUCCAAGAAAAUACUUCCACAUGGUCUAAUAAUAGCCAACUGAGCAUGCAAAAGAAGAGUAAGAUUUCACAUAAUGAACAAACGCAUAGUCAAAAGCUUUCCAUUCCAGCAAGAAAAUAAACUAAAUUCCAGAAGACUUUGGUGUAAAAACAUUGACCACCAAUAUUAGCUUGUAGCAUAUAUACCAUAAUUCAUAGCAUAUAAGGACCAACCAGCCUAAGGGCUGCAGGGCUGAAAGUGAAAUUAUUUCCUCAAUUUUCCACAGAAAUUAGCUUGCAUGCAGAGAAAGAAAAAGAAGGGGGGGGGGGAACUCUUUUUGGAAUACUUUUGCAUUACCAAACUGUUUGUCCCCCAAAUGCAGGACAAAGCAGAAGAUUAUAGUGUAGAAACAAGAUCCACCAUGAAGUGUAAGCAAAUCCAUUCCACAUGACUAACUCUACAAAUGUAAGAGAAAUUGAGAUGAUGUAUAGGACUGCAUAUGACUAACCUAUUCACAUAUUGAGAGGGGAGAAAAAGAGAAAGAGUGGUGGUGGGGCAAACUCAACUUAAACUGGUUUCCUUGCUUUUAAAAUAAUAAUAAUAAUAUAAUAAGCACAGUCAUCACCUGAAGCAGGCCCUGGGUAGUGCACGGAGCAUAUGAAAGCGAUGUGAGAACCCAUUCUCGAACAAGUCGCUGGUACAAAGAACGAACAGUUGCAACCCAUGCAGGAUCAUUGAUAACGGCAGAAGAAGCAUCACUAUCAAAUGAAAAUAGUAGCGAAUCUAAACAAGAUGAAUGCCACAAAACCUGCAUUAUAGAGUUCCACGAGUUUCAAAAUGCACCAGAGAAAUUGAGCAUAAAUGGAAACUUAUCAUGAACAUAACUUUACCUGAGGAAACUUAUCUCUAAGCUGAGUUAACAAGUUAACGGCAGUAUCACGGAGGUGUUCCUCCCUCUGUGACAUACUUUUUAUGAGGAAACAAGCAUGAGCAAAAAGAGUAGAUUCUUUGAUCUCAGCUUCCUUGCCUGUUUCUGCUGUCCGUUCUUCCUGUACCCAGAUCAAAAUGUCAAUGAUGCCCAAAAGCAAGAGAAAGAGAACAGCAACAAACAUCAUAUUUGAUGGAACAGAAAGAAAGCAUUUCUAAUGCCUAUAUUUCAGCAAAUGAGGGCAUAAGUCAUGCAAACAAGAAACUAUUAAUUAAAUAUCACAUCCUAGAAAUCAUCAAAAGUCAACACUAUAACACUCAUUCUAAUUUUCAUUCAUUUUUGUAGUCACCAAAAGAGCAAUAUUACCGCAAAAGUCAAUAGCUCUAUCUGGCAAACUUAAAUGCAAGAAAAGCACCAAAAGCGCACCACCAGAAGUGCAAGCCUCAAGGUAGAAUGCACAGUACUUACAUUUUAACUAUAAAUUUUACAAGUACGUAUAAACAAAUCAAUAUCAAGGAAAGUUAAUAAGAAUCUAAAAUUUUGUUUGGACAUUAAGAAUCAUACUAAAAUCUAGAAAAGAAAUUAUCAAUUUAUCACCACCAAAUUGAUCAAAAUUGUAUGUAGAUUUAUGAUAUUUAAAAUAUAACACAUAAUCAAAUACAAGCAAUAAUACACAAAGAAUAACCCACAAGGACCAAAGACCAAUCUUAGUGUGACGAGAGUACUCAAACACUUGAACUGGUCUUUCACCAUAUUAAGAACAUAAUUUAAAAAAGACAACAUUAUAUCUGACAAAAAUCAACAUAUGUGCCUCAUAAAAAUUUCAAAAACUAGGCAGGCCUCAGAAAAGCUACUGCCGCCUCAGAGAAUACGAGGCAGGGCUCAGAAUUCACCACAAAGACACCGAUCAUAUGUGGUGUGCAAAUUUAAACUAACAAUUAACCAAUACGGGGAACUGAACCAUAUGGAAAAUAAAGAUUACAUAUAGCUCUAGAACAAAUUGCAAUCCAAGAAUAAAUGUUUUAACACACAAUGUGGCUAACACUCAUACAUGAAGAUAAAAAACCAAAUCAGCUGCACUUAACUUUGACAACUCGGUCUAAGAUCUAUACCCUACCCCAUCAAAGAAUGAACCUUCCCUAUAUGAGAAAACAGAGGAAAGCAAAGGGCAUUGCUCCAAAAGCUCCAGUUAAAAGAUGAAAAAAUACCAGCCAUGAUACUGCAGUUUCAAAUGCCCUGAGCACAAUUGCAUUCAAACAUUGGAAAACAGAAGGCAUAAGGUUUGGAGUUUUCAAGUAUUCAAAAACACAACUGAAUGCACUUCUGGCGGCAGUCAAACUAGUGCCUCCAUUAAGUAUGCCACCAUUGCUGCUGAAACGUAUAAUCUCUAAAAAAGCAACUGCAAGAAGAUAGGUCGCCUUCACGCCUACAAACAAAUAAUAACCAAUGUCUUUUUACGAUUAUAAGUGAAAUAUACAAAAAGCAACAAUCUAUAUACCCAACGGAAUAUAAUAGAAUUUAUAGAAAUAUAAAAAAAAAAAAAAAAAAAUUCUUUGAUAUCAACAAAAGAAUUGAAGGACCAGGUAAAUCAUGAACUUUUACGAAAUAGUUAAACUAGACAGCAUUCAGUGAACAUAGAGGAUAAGCAUUUAAUGCUCCAGAAACACUAAAAACCCCCAUCAAACCUCAUCACAAACAUUGUCAUUGGUCUGGUUUCUGUAUACUUAAGCUUUUGACAUUUAUAGUUUCUCACUAUGAUAUUAAAGUCAGGUUCGAGAGAGAAGUCUUUUGUUUGAGUCCAGAUUUUAUUAAUGAAAAUUACAGAACUAGACAGACCUGGGUUCAGAUCCCUGUGUAUGUCAUGUGUGUGUUUCUCCUGUGUAUUUAAUAAUAAGUAUGCCAGUUAAAUCCAGCUAUGCAAGAGAGAGGUUGAAUUGGACUUCAAUACUAUUGUUGGUACCUUCCUAUAAGCUUAAAAUUUUGAGAUUAAUAGUUUCUAAACAAACCUGAAAUUGUGCUCAUCGCUGCAACUUCAACUCGUCCUCCUAAAGCAGCAGAAAGUGCUGCUCUUUGGGUUCCCGCAGCUUUCUCAUUCCCACUCCCUCGACGACUACCAGGAUUGUGAAGAGCAUUGAGUUCCAACUCAUCUUCAAGCCAUUUCACUGAGCUGACAACCUGGAAAAGACAUUAUUUAUUUUUUUACAGCGAACAAGAGAAUAUUAUAAAAUAAUAAUUAAACAAUCAUGGAAACAAGUCAUCAUAAAAUAUCACAUUACAAUAUAGUUAUAUUACUGCAAUCACUACAGAUAUUAGCCCAAUUCACAAACAAAAAUCAUAUCCAUUCAGGCUAACUUGACAAGUGCAACUAAGAGCACAACUCUCAUAACAAGAAAGCCCAGUCAACUAAGUAAUGCCAGGGUAUUAGGCAUCCAUACCUACAGGACCACCAACGAACAAAGUAGUAUUAUCUAGGAAUCCAAAGUAAGGCUUUACUCUUGAACAUCAAAAAGCCUUUGCAUAUUCACACAAGCUAAGAAUACUAAUACGUGCCUGAAAGUGUUAAGGGCAACACUUUAAAAGCUUAAAUUACAAGGCUCCCCUAAUGGUUAAAAAAGCUAAUAACAGAGGAAGUCCAGGAAGCAAUGAUGUAACUAAACAACAAUAAGAUAUGAUGAGGGCAUUGUGAUUUGGAAAGAAUAGAAGCCUCUAUCAUGAAGUAAAGCCCUCUUUCUUUAACAGGAUAAUAGGUAACUUGUUCCUUCAAGAUUUUAAUCAGCUUUGCUUGUCUUGCAUCCAUAAUUCCAAAAGAAUGGCGGCUUCAAGCGCAUCCUAGCAUUCACUUAGAUCUCAAACUUGUGCACCACUGCUAAAACGCUGACUAAUCUGCUAUUCCUACACAUCAGACCAGACUUCUCUCUACCAGAUUUGUAUCCUAAAAUGCCCUGAUAAUCACCAGGCGACCCUUACCAAGUAUUUUAUGCAAACAGAAGUUAGACUGCCAACGUAUUCCAAUUUCCCACAAACACAUUGAAAUGAAUAAUAAAAGCAUAAAACAUAAAGGAGGGCAUUUAUAUGGAUGGAAAAUCAAAGACAGAGAUGUCAUAUCCGAUCUGAAACAGCAAUCUGCCACAGCAAAUUUUGGAACCAAACCGAACUUCCAUUAAAGCAAAUUAUGCUUCUACUUACAAGGGGAGGAGUCCCUUGAGCAAUAUGCUGAACAGCAGACGACCACUGUGUAUUCCACAUAUAAGGUCCAGUCACUGCUUGAAGAGGUAUUGUACCCAUGCUGCCAACACUGUUCAAUGUACUGGAAACUGACUUUACUGGCGGUUGAGUUUUCUGUAUGGGGGGUGCCAAGCCAAAUAGAGCAAUAUAGAACCACAAAUUGCGAAACAACUUCAAAAGUGAUGGUUCCACAUCUACGGUAGGAUCAAAAUCAGAGCAUAUUUCAGCAACAGCAGGAAGUAAAGGCCCCAGAAAAUCAGCUCCACUCCUGCAGCAGUGAAGAGUAUCAGAUAUGAAAUCUCUAACAAAUAAGACAAUGAGGCCAAAAAAAUGAGCACGAAGUGAGGCAAGGAUUACCAUAUCCAGAAGAGUGCAUGGAUACAUAAAAAUAAUUAAAUAGGGAUAUCACAAUCAUUAAAUACGAUUUCCUACCAGCAUUCAAAUAGGCAAUACUUACCUCCCACUUUUAGACUCAGCAGCCAGGCCUACAUCGGAGCACAAAGAUAGCAAACGGUGUCGGUAGUCAGAACGUAGUUUAGCAUUUCUAAGACCACCAGCAAUAAGAAGAAAUCCUGCAGGAAGAGUCUAGCAUGUAAUUGAAGCAGUGAGCAACAAUUAGAUAGGAUAAACUGUUAAGCAACUUACAGUAUCAAAUAAGUUCUAUAUCACAGAAGCAAGCAUACCUCAACACGUUCUGUAGUAGCUUCAGCUGCCAUUGUUUUGCUUUCAGCAGAUCCAACAAUUGAUAGUUUACUCAAAUAACUUCUUGUCAUCAGAACAACUGUUUCACGAUAGGACUUCUCGAAACCUAAACUUGCCAUGUGAGACACAGCAUCUAGAAGCUGUAGUAAAUUAAGGAGAGAAGAGUUGAGAAACCAUGCCACUAUAUCACAAACAAGUAAUAGCCAUGACAUUAUUGUUUCAAUGAUCCACAUAGAAAAAUUUGAAACAAGGGUGCAGACUAAAUAAUCAGCAAAUAUAUGGUCUCAGGAUAAAGGUUCCAUACUCUGAGCCGCAAUAAACUAGGAGUUGAAGCAUCACCCUCUUCCAAGCUCUCAAUAAAAAGUGGCAAUAUCAUGUCUACCACUUCAGACUUAUUAACAGCAACAGUCAAAUCAGCUAGCAAGCGUAUAACAUUAAGCUGCACGGCUGGAACUGCCUGUUUCUCUUUCUCAACCUGAAAUUGGCUUGACGUAUAAGCAUAGACCAGUAGUUAGCUCUGCAAUUCAAAUUUUAUCACUCGAAAAAAUAAUAAUAAUAAUAAUAAAUGAAACAAGAAAAAAAAAAUUAUAGCAGUACAGGUUACAAACAUCAUGAAUCUUUAGAUAAGGAAAUAAAAAAUGCAUUAAUGAUGAAGAUUUUAAAACAGCUUGUGGACCAGCUGUCCACUAAGAAAACAAAAAAGUAAGACUAUUUGGGCUAUACAAAAGUAUACCCAUAAGGCUAACAUCAGCUACAACUCCCUAUCUCAAAACCCCAUCCCGCUUUAGAUGAAUGAAGAAAAAAGAUGAAUCUUGAAACUCCUAAGAAACUGAAGCCCAAGGUGAAGCAAGGCAACAAACUGUUACAAACAUCAUGAAUUGACGAAAGAGAAACAAGUCUAAUGAGAAAACUCAUUGGCCUAUGCACUGUUAAAUUAUUUUUUAAGUGGUCAUCUCAAACCGAAGAUUACAAUCAGUACAAUCCAGAAGUGCACAACAUUCUCCAAGAGUAACUUAAGCAGAAGUAAAACUCAAAAUCAAACAUAGGCUUGAAGGCAAACUAAAGAGCAGAAAAUAAAGUUUAUUCCCAAACGAAUAGUAAUAAAUGUCUAUACAUAAACACUUACAUAUAUUAUAUGGUAACAUAAAUGCAUGCAUACAUCUAUAUAUACCACAAGAAAAAUGAACAAAUGACCUGCUCAUCAUAAUCAUUUCGUUCGCGAAUACUUGUAGCCAAUCCCAUGAUAAAUGUGUCCACAGGCGCCCGGUCCUUGGUCCAGCCAGAUUCAAUUAUUUCACAGCUCGUCUUCAUGACAGUCUCAAACAUGGCUCCCUUGCUGCUGCCCCAAGUGUCACCCUGUCACAAAUAAAUUGUAGAAGAACAUAAAAAUGAUAGAAGAUAAAAAAACAAUUUUAUUUCUAAAGUGACCAGAAUUAGCUUUGUCAUGGUGCAAACUCAUAAUACAAACCAGUACCUGCGCACAGGCGGUUAGCACAAGAGGCUUCAGACGAAUAAGCAAAACUCGCAGCGGCUGACCUCCCCUAAUAACAGCAAUCUGUGCUAUCCCUGCAAGCAGGGAACUGAACAGCUCCUCACAAACUCUCAACUUUCUCCAAACAGAGAGCAAACAAGAUUCAGCAGCAUCAACUAAUAAUGCAAGAGUCUCCAACACCAAUCGCUUUGAGGUUUUCCCUUCCAUAUCAAGAGAUGCAAGACUCUUUAUCUUCAACCUUGCCACAGAUUGAUAAACAGAUAGCUUUGCAUUUAUUCUGGCUUUCAGGAGAGGCCCCUGUUCAGUCCAAUCCCGCUUCCUUAUCUGCAUAUAUAACCAAUUAACCUUACUAAAUUUUUUUCUUUUAUGAAAUCAAAAUAAAAACUUCUCCUACUCAAUAACCAAUAACAAACUUUUAUUUUAUUUUUUUUUUAAUUUUCAAAUACAGUAUAUGCUUUCGCUUUUCCCAUACAGUUUCUCUUGCUUCCCCUUCUCUUAAAAAAGUUCAAAAGUUAAUAUGCACUAAGAACUAUCUACAUAUAUUUACAUAUAACAAUCAAGCAAACAUUGUCACACGGAAUUUAACCCAAACUAAUGUUUUCUUCAAUAAGGUAUUCCCGCACAACGCACUACUGUUUCUCUACUUAUCCAAGUAUUAAAUUGAUUAAAUGCAACAAGAAUUAUCUAAUUCUAUUAACAAUAAAUCAAACAUUUUAUAAUAUGAAAUUUAUCUAUUGACAUUGGUACCUUCAGAAAAGCAGACAUGGACUGGAGCUGCCUCUUUGCCAAAAACCUAAUCUGCUCCAAAAGCUUAGUGUCGAUCUGUACUUUAUCCAAAACAUGUGUAAUCAAUUUAAACGCAAUUUCUUGCUUCUCCAAGCUCUCCACAGACUCUUCCUCAAAAGAAGCCACCUGUUGCCUGAAUUGUUGCCCGAAUUGUUGCCCAUCGUUCAUAGUGAAUCCACCAAAUAUGCUUGCCCCACCAUUCAUUGACACACUUGAGCCCGACACGAUGCUCGCCCCCUCAUUUCCAGGACUGGACUCACUCCCGUUACUUUGACUGGGCUGAAGAUGAUUUGCACUCAAUGGGGAGCUCUGAGACGACGAAGUUCCAGAGUUUAUAGGUAUAUGUUCUCUCGGCGAAGCCGGAAUUGGCAAUGCCAGCUGUUCGAGGAGAACCGUUACCAAUUUAUUUGCAUCGGAAGGCAAAAUUGGCGGGAAAUUCUUCGAUGAAGCCAACAAAAAAGCUCUCGUGAUUCCCGAAUCUUCAGCUCCAUAACAACAGACCGCCGAAAUAAUGACCUCACCAGUGAGACCAGCGACUUCUGCAGCGAAAUCGGGGCUAUCGUCACAGGAUUUGGACACGUAACCUAAGAAUUCCGUGAAGAAAGACGAAAUCGAGUCGCUAGUGGAGAACGCCUGCGGCCAGAAGGAGCGGUUAAAAGACGACGGAAUGGCGCGGAUGAACUCGAGAAUGACGGAUUUGGGGCGGGAAUCGGCCGAGUCGCCGCAUUUUGAAAGGAACCGAGCGACGGCGAGUACGGCAUUGAGAUGAGAACGAGAAACUCUCGGGGAUCCGGAUAACAACAAUUCGGGUUGCGGACAUCGGUUGCAAAUCCACGCGAGUUUCUCGGAGAAUUGUUUUGGAUUUUGCGCGAUCAGAUCACACAGCUCGAACAAUGCCUCCAUCAAACCAAAGACAAAAUCAAAUGCACAAAUUAAUUCACGAAAUUACGAUUAAAAAAUUAGGGCUCCUUGAUAAAACUCGCCCAUUUUUUUUAGUUUUCGAGAAAAUUAAAAAAAAAAUCAAAUAUUGUGAUGAGCUGUUUUCAUUUCUCUACUUAUAUAAUUCCGUUGAAGUUUAAUAAAAGUCUCCACACACACUCUCUUUAGGUGCAAAUGUGCAAUUCUGGCGCCCCCCGGGCAUUCCUUCAAUCCGGCACCGUUGAGAGAAAUUUACGUCUUCUCCGAAAAAAUAAAAAUGGGGAAAUUUAACGUACGGUCAUAAAAAUACGAGCUAGUUCACUCGGAGACAGUUAGCUGGCUUGGUUGCGUGGGGAGUCACGUGACAGUUAAUUUUGAAAUGUAGCACGAUGUGAAAUAGAAAGAAUCUCAGCUGGGCUAUGCUCUCACUCUGUACAGUGUAGUGACAAAAUUGUAAUUAAUGAGAUGGUGGGUGAUUUUUAUCAUUAUGGUGGCGUUGGAAUAUAAUAUAAAAAUGGAUCGUGCUGACACGUAUGCGUUUUUUUUUAAUAAUCAUGAGCAAAAGCAUCGUAACAUUAGAAGUCCUUUUCUGUUUUUUAAGCAGCAAUCAUACUGCUCGUGCAUCAUGCAUGGGUAACUUGGAGAGGAAUUUGGUUCUAUUUCCUGACUUAAAUUUUGUCUGAAUUUUUUCAAAUAAUAUGAAAUUAAACUUCAUUGCACAACUUUAUUGGGGUCCGAAAAAUGCUCUGUGCACACUUCUUUUUUUCCCCCUGCCGGGUGAUCAUGAAUGGAGGAUUGACGUGGAUGGUCAUGAUUGAGGAUUGACGUGGCAAGCAGAGGUUGGUUGACUAGUGGAGGCCAUUAGUUUCAUGAACUUUUCUAUUACUUGAACACACUUGUUAAAAAAUUACUGGCUAAAUGCUUUUGGGCCUACACACGGCAUGAUAUGAUUUGCUGAGACUAUUUCUGUAUGAAAGAGUUGAGGACAGUCAUUCGUUGUCAAUUGGAAGAGAGAUACACACUUCACGUAGAAGAGAAACUGUUUGUGAAAAUAACUUAACCAACAGAAUGACACGGGUCCUCAAAAUUGCCAUUGCAGUCUCAAAGUUACGUGGUGAUGCUAAAAAUAUAUAUGGAUUCACAGAGUAGCUCACCUGUAAAUUUAUGAAAAUUGACCUUGGUCAAGCCGUAGAACCUCUGCAUAUAUCAAGUGGUUCAAUUUUUCCCAUCACACUAGAUUUAAUACACCAUCAUUGCAACUUCAUUGAGCAAUACUUGGACCCAGCUGCUUGAUGAAAUCCAAGCAGUCAAAGCAUAGACUUUGCAUGACUCUCAUAUUUCCUUUAGACCCUUUUACCGUUCAAAAAUCUUCAAAACUACCUACAAAUCAGCUAAAUUUGAAUUGAUAAUUCAUCUAUGCAUACAUAAUUUAAAAUUUGAAUAGAUAAUUCAUCGAGACAUAAUUUAAAUAUUGGAUAAACAAUAUCAACGUAAACUGAUAUCAACGCAAUUUUGACAACAGCGACUGUUAAUCUAAUCAAAUGAUAAACAAGAGGAAAUUAUCAAGAUUCCAUAAUCAUAGAAAUACGAAAAGAAACCAUUUAAAAACUAGAUAAGAAGCCAAUUGAUUGAUUAAAAUGAUAAUUAGCGACCAAAGGGACCAUUGGGAUCAAGUUGCUUGCACAAACCAAGAUAGGUAAGAUAAAGCACACGAUCUUUAGCCCCAGUACGAUGAUUCUUAGUAUGCUUGCAGAAAUACUUCAACUGAUCGAGCGUACAGCAACCCAGCAACUGACCCAAGAGCAAAAACAACCAAUUGAUCUGCUUCUUCUUAUCAGGAAUCACCGGCUUCGCGCUAUUCUCCUGAUCACAGAACUUGCACGUGGGCAGCACGGGAUUCAUCCACACACUGGGCGCCCUGUCGUGCAUGCUACUCUUAUUCUCAGCAAUGAACCUCCCCACUUCGUAAAACUUGUCCCUCAAGUCAUACCCCAUCUCGUACUGCUUCUCACAUUUCUUGCACUGCAUCUCCCCGGUGAUGGUCGUUAUUUGCUUGGAAAGCAAGUAGUUCAAGUUGUGCACCGUGGCACGGUGAGUCGUGGCCCAGGGGUAUAGGGCCGGGACCGUGUCGCCCUUCCCUUGGCCCGGGGCCUGCGUGGGGUUGCGUCGAGGACGUAAUGGCCGAGAAGGCGGUGCUGCAGCGGCGGGGGCAGGGGAGGGGAUCUCUUGGCGAUAAACGGGGACCACGGAGGGGUCGGGCAUGAAGGGAGGGAUGCAAAGGGAGUGGGAGUGGGAGGGUGAUAUUUGGAGAGGGAGUUGUGGUGGGGAUUGGGAAACGAGUCGGGUUUGCAUCGAGCAAGGCUGUGAUAACUGGAGAGGUAACGGGGAUGGGGAUGUUUCUUCAUCGGGGAUGGCUCGACGGGGACGGGAAGCGGGGCGGACGGAUAAUGAGAGGGCAAGCAAGUCAUUGUCUUCUUGAUCGUAGUGGUCGAGGUUGAUGUUUUGAUUGUUAUUAUUAUUAUUAUUGAUUCUUUUUGAGCUAUUGUUGGUGGUGGCGGUGGUGGUGCUUUUUCUUUUUCUAGUGAUUUCUUGGUUGAAGUCUUCUUGUUGGUUGUUCAUGGUGACAAAGAAAUUAGGUUUGUUUGUUUUUUUUUAUUUAUAUUUUUUGAUAUUGGGUUGGGAGAAAAGGAGAUGAUGAUGGAGAGAGUGAUAGCUUAGGGGGGCAUGCAAGAUUUGGUGAUAGAGAUUUGAGAGAAAACAGAAUGAAAGAAUAUGUGUGUGAGUGUGGGUAAAAUACAAGGAAUUGGGGUUGGAUUAGAGUUCUUUAAAUUUGAAAACGGCUAUUCAAAUUCUUGCAGGUUGUUUCUGUUGCACAUUUUUUGUACUGUUGUGGCUUGCGACUGGUGGUGCCCGUUCGGGAUGGAAUCGAGUGGGUGCAUGCGUAUGGAAGCUUGUUUGCACAUGGCAUGGGGAUGAGUGAUUGGUUGCUAAAUAUUUAGUAGAGAAAUUUAGAAUGCUUUUAUGGCACACGCAACCACCAUUUAUUGGAUUAAACAAAUUCUCUCAAUGAAUUGUAUUAUGUGAGAAUUCUUUUUUCCUUUUGAGAGAUGUUGUUUAUUUUUUAGUUAUCCCGCUCCAAAUUAAAAGCAUAAAUCAACCAUCCCACCUUAGAUUAAACAUGCAUGUGUACGCGUUAAGAGAUAAUAAAGUUAAUUACUACUUCAUGAAUGACGGUGAAAUACAAAUAAUUAAUGGUUGAUUACAUAUCAUCUGAAAUACAGUGAUAAGGAUAACAAUAAAAACGAAUUUAUCCAUAGACAUUUAGUUACUAAUGGCAUUGUUAAUCAUGGAAUUAAUACAAUAAAUUGAUCUCGGGUUAUGUGAGCAUAUUAAUUAAUGGAGUACAUCGUUGUUUUUUUUAUCUUAAUUCAGUGAAUACGUAUUAUGUCGUGUAAAUGAUGUUAACGAGAAAUUUAUUAGGGUGAUCAUUAAAAUCUAACAAUACUAUUUUUCCUAUUACGAAAUUUAUCAACCAAUCAAUCAAAGAUUAACACUCGCAUAUCCUGAACUCUUCACAUAUAUCAACACGUAUCUAAUUAAAGUUGUGUUUAAAGGCAAAAUGUAUCCAUCUAAAUUUAAUUUCCAUUGAUCAAGAGAAUAAGGUUUUCCUCAUAACUUCUUGUCAAGCUUAAUUAGAAAGCUAGUUAAUGCUGCCUAAAAUAUAUAAACUAAUAUGAAUUAUUUUGAAAAUUAUGACACCAUCCACCCCAAAGUCACCAAUCGAGUGAAUGUCACAUAUCAUAAGAUCACAAUUUUUAGAAUUGAUUUUGGAUUGAUUGAAAUUGCUUAAAAAAAAAAAAAGAACAACCAAACGGUUGUGGCUCAGUUGGCGAUGCAGGCUGGGUAAGUGGGAAGAGCUCUCGGGUUCGAUCCCCCACUAAACACACCAUUUGGGAGGGGUAAAGAGCCUUAACUGUGACUACACCCCGAAUCCGAAUUAGUCGGGGCCCAAUGCGGUCGCCGGAAAUCGGGUGGUUUAAACCAAAAAAAAAAAAAGAACAAGAUACACUCUCAUUUGAAUAAAAUCUUUAAUUGUGUAAUACCUUCCAUAGAUAUAGUAAAGAGUUUAGUUGUUGGUAUAUAUCAUAGCUUAGAAGAUUUUAUUCCAAUUUUUUGAGCCAGAUAUCACAUAAUUUAGUCCAAUCAGUUUAGGUUUACGCAAACUACAUCGUGGAAUUUGUAGUAGAUCCAAUGAUUACUUUUGAGUGGAUCUUUUAACACAACUCUAAAAUUUUGAUAACAUUCUUUUUUAACUUAUUUCCUAAAAUACACUCUGUUUUAUAAAAUAAAAAUUCAUAUAUUAAAAUUAAUCAUUUUCCCAUAAAAAUUUACCCUGAAAAGAUGUUUCUUUUUAAAUUACAUUUAAAUUCUGAAAUAUCAAAUUUAUGUAUCUUCAUAAAUCUCCUCUCUUAUGUUUUUAAAAAAAAUAUUUUUUCAAAAAUUUAAAAUAUAAAUUAUUAUGAAAAUGGUGGUCAUAAAAAAAUUAUUAAAAGAAUAAUUUAAUUUAAUUUUUAUUUAAAUAAAAAAUAAAUUCAUUUAUGUUAAGUUAUUUAAGUGAUUUCAAUUAAAAAAAAAAAAUUACGACGAUUUUUGAGGAAGUGGAAAUUUACUAAAAAAUAGAGCUCUCUCAAGGAGCCUCAGUAAAUUCGUAGUAACCUCGUUCUCACAGGCCAAUAUUCAAUUCAGGUUUUAAGUUAGCCCGGCCCAAAAUCAUAUUCACAGGCGCGUGCAUUGCUGAGAAUCUCCCCUUUACGUCAUGUUUUCAUAAGCUUUCCUUCAGUUCCUCUGUAUCUAUUAACUUUCUACUGCUUUUAUUAUUAUUAUUAUUAUUUUAAUUUUAUUCUGCGCUAAGUUUCUUCCAGAAUUUGCUUCGGCCUCAGUCUCAGCUUCCAAGGUAGUAGUUCUUCUUGUUUCACUAAAAUAAUGGACAUAAAUUUUUAGUUUUAAGGUUUAUUAUCCUAUUCAAUUUUCGAGUUUUCUUUUCGAUAGUUUCUUUUAGUUUAGGGUUUUAAAUUCUCGUGUGCUGCAAUUGUUAGCUCUUUGCAAUCAAAACACAUAAACCAAUUAUUGGCAGUUUUAAUCGUAAAUGAAGUGUUUAGACUCAAAAUUUGACAAUUUAGGUUUCGCAGGGAAUUGAAUUAAAUUAAAAAAUAUAUAUAUUAUUUUGUUUGUUGCGGGAUAAUUUCUUGAUUUCCAAAACUAUUUGUUAGAAUGAGAUUUGUUAGAUCAAAUUUAGGACUGUACGGACAUUUUUAUUUGAUAUUGCAUUAUGUAGUUCUCGUAUACUCUCAAUUCUUGAAUUAUUAAGCUGAAAGUUCAUUAUUGUGGUUACCUGCAGUUCAAGUGGGCGGUGAUGGACAACAUUGUGGAUGCUUUAAGUAGUGCAUAUAAGGAGUUUGUUGCCGCUGCAGCUAAUGUGCUUGAAGCUAAGGAACUUUCAGGUGCCCAGAAAACAGCAGCUACUGAUGCUGCUUUAGAGAACUUCAAGCAGAGGUGGGAGUUGUUCAGGGUGGCUUGUGAUCAGGCCGAGGAGUUCGUGGAGUCUGUAAAACAAAGAAUAGGAUCUGAGUGCUUGGUUGAUGAGGCUACCGGCUCUCUGGCUGGAAAGUCGGGUCAAGCUGCCACUACUGGUCUCCCUCCUAUUAGUGCAGUUCGGUUGGAGCAGAUGAGUAAAGCUGUUCGGUGGCUUGUCAUUGAGUUGCAGCAUGGUGGAACUGGUGGUACUUCAGCGCAUGCGCAUCCUUCUGUUCCUUUUGAUGCGAGGUUCCCUGAAGAUGCUGGUCAAUAGGUAUGUUUCAUGGGAGUGGUUUUGUGCUAUAUUGUGUUUGAAAAUAGAUGUUAUGCUUACUACCUCGUUGAAGGCGUUUGCCCUGAAGAUAACAAUUUACCAAGAGCACAUGAAUCUGAAAAUAGCAAGAUACUGUGAAUGAAAGUAUUUGUUAAUAUAUGUUCUCUUGAUAAAGCUAGGAUUAAAGUGUAGAAAACUCUCUUCGAUGAGCUCAAGAUGAAAUCUAGUUAUUCAUAAUCUAUAUGGCAGUGUAAUGUCUCCUUGCCGUCAAAUAGAACAUCGCUUUGAGAUUGCUGCACAUAAUUCGUAAGUGCUGCAUGUCUAGCAGGUUUGGCACUCUGUUAUUAUGAUCUAGUUUGAUACGCGGGAAAGUUCAGUGGUCAUGGUUAUAGAUGGUCUCUUAUAUGUUCUCUUUGCUUUAGUUGAGGUGCUGCAUAUCAUCCAUUGAUUUUGUUUAUCUCAACUAACCAAGAGUUUUGAAGUCCAUGACCCGCAAAUAUUUUGCAUUCAAACUUUUAACUUGGUUGAUUUUGUUUUCUUCAUCCUCUUUUUGUUACUGAUUCUUUCUCCUUCUCCGCUUAUCCAGUGGAUUAUCAGAUGAAUAACUGAUCCAUAAAAAUUUCUGUUGAAUCCUUCAUUACUUUAUUCCUUUCAAAUUUCCACAUUGGCGGGACAUCCUGUUACGAUGAUACAACAGAGACUCAACUUCCAAUUGAAAACACACACAGUGUCACCCACCAUUGUCCGUAUCCUAUUAGGUCAAUUGGUUCUUUAUCCAUUGUGGCGGAAGCUGAAGAUUGGAUUUUCAUUUCCAUUUCUGUUUCUGUAUUCAGGAUUCUGGAGAUGAAAGUUACUGAAUCAAGAAGAGGCAACAUGAGGAUGUUGCGCAUGCAGUCAAGUCCAUGCUUUCAAAAAGGGUUGAUGAUUCCUUCAUGAAAGAGCUACAAAAUGUGCAGAGGGCUUUGUGAAACAAAUGAACUACCAUUUUAUACGGAUGGAGAUCUUUGUAAAAUACAGGAUGUGAAUAGCACUGUGAUUGCAAUUUUACUUUGUGCAAAUUAGAUUCUGAUCGCCAUUUUAUUCUUAUAAACAAUCAACUAUAUAGCAGAGAUUUCUAUUCUAGGCAUCAAUUCCUGGUUGGAAACUUGGAAUGAUAUGCUGCUGCAAUAUGGGAUUAUUUCUAUUUUGAACCCAUAAAACUACCAUCCACACAAUUUUCUUAAACAAUUUUUAUAAUCACAGAUCGUUCAAUAUAAAUACAGAAUCAUUAAUGGAAGGAAAAAUGGUCAAAAUAGAAAUAACGAACACAAAGGUUGGGCUACGAUAAAUUAUUUUUUUUUUAAUUUAAAUUUCUGUCGUAUCAAAGACUCUCCAUCCGCUCAAAGAUUCAACAAGUCAUUGCAUCACAAGAUCGUCUGCUUGACCUUGGAGAUUUGUCGACCAAAGAGAUCAAAUCCUUCAUGUAUAAAUCUUACGAAUAGGUGUAUAAACACACACUAUCUAAUAAGAGAUUUUUUAAAUUAUUAAAAUGACUAGAUAAAUUAAAACAAAAUAAAACACAUAUUUUCGUGUUAUCUGUUUUGUCAUAUAAGUGUGAAUUAUUUAUCUUUUAGUUAUGUCUUAUUUUAAUAAUUUAUCGAACCACACACACAC
rnacentral:lncRNA from 1 species